rnacentral:lncRNA from 1 species
CAGGCGGGAAUGCAGCGACAGUAGAGAACGCUGGAACUUACUAUAGGAACUUGAUUAGGCAUGUCAGAGGAACAACGGGGACACCGGCGAAGCCUGGAAGGUCUAUAGAGACGUAUUUGUUUGCAAUGUUCGAUGAAAACAGGAAACCUGGUGAAGAGUCGGAAAAACAUUUUGGGAUUUUCUCCCCUGGUCAACAACCUAAAUAUCAAUUGAGCUUCAAUUAAGGAAAAGUAAAAAACGCCAUUUCUGAAGCUAUGAAGAAUAUUCCAUACAUAAAAUAAAGUGGUUUUCCACUGCUUAAUAAAGUGAUGAUGAAGUAAAGAUGCUUAAUUAUCUUUGAUGUUGUUUUUGGUAUCGUUUUGAUAGGGAGUUUAAAUAUAUGUAUUGAAUAGGGGACCAACUUUGUUGUACUUGUAUCCAAUAUCUAAAUAAAAACUUUGUUAAAUAUAUAUUUAGCUAGAACUAAAACCUUAAACCCUCUCAUCAUCUACCUCAUAACCAAUUUGGCAAACAAAAACAGUUUGUCUAACCACCUAUUCCGACAUUCCCGUUUGUUUUGUUGGAUUAUAGGAAAGGAUGAUAUCUUUGACGAUUGUUGGGCAUAAAUUUUUUCAUAUUGUGUCACAUCCCUCUCUUAGCCAUCCCGAUCGAAGACCUCAGGAUUUAAAUUGGGUCAUCUAUAAGGAGGUGUUUACCAAGCAUGCAUGAAGCAUAUUUAUGAUUUUUCAUCUCUUUAUCGAUUAGGCAAUCAUGUAUGAUGUAUCGACAACAUAUUAGCAAAAUAUAAUGAUUUAAUAUAUGGUCUUUUCAAAACAUGUAACUUUAUUAUAUGAAAUUGGGUUAACCACUAGUAUAGAAGAGGUUUAAUGAUGCACUUAAAAUUAUUAGUUGAUACGGUUAUUAAACCAUACCAACAAAUACAUCAUCAGAAACUAACAUUAUUUGUUGAUGUGGCACACAAACCGAAUAAGAAAAUAUUGUAAACCGCUCUAUAAAAUAAAGUAGUGUUUUUCCAUGUUUUGACAAACAAGUAUAAUUGGAUAUAAAAUCAUUUUGCAACAAAUGAUACUCUAUUUCUUCAGUACAAUUAAACGUUUUAAAGUUUUUACAAACGUUACAAGGACAACAAAUCAAUCCACUUCCAUUAUUCAUGCGAUUUGCUUUGGCAACCCUAAUAAAAGUUCGAACACCCUAUAUAUAAAAUUCAGAAAAACGUAAAGUUUUGUACAUCCAAUAAUCACAAUUCAUAUGAAAAUACAAAUAAACAAACAAAGAAUGCAAAUAUAUCGAUUUUAAACAAACAAGUUAUGUAAAUUUUAACAUGUUAAUAAUCAACAAAAAUCAAUUUAAAAAAUAACAAUAAACACUCAUUUAAUAAAUAAAUAAAUAUGUAGAAUAAAAUCAAAAGUACAUUAAAAUUAAAAUUACCUUUAGUGAAGACAUCCAAAUAAUUAAUAAGGAUAUUUUGAGAUUUUAUGCAUUUAUGUUGAAGAGAAACUCCAUCAAGAAGAAGUAUGUUUUUGUUUACAGAAACCCUAAACGGAUAUAGCUAGGUUUUAGUUGAUACGCUCUUAGAAAUAGCACCAAAAAAUCAAAAUUUAAUGAUGCGUUUUAUAAAAUAGAGCAUCAAAAAAAUUGUAAUUUAAUGAUGUCAUAACAACACGUCGCACCAAAAAAUCAUUUCUAAUAUUAAUUCUUUGUGAACCGCACUAACAAAUGUACUAGGAGUUCACUUUCCGUGUUUUUUUUUUUUGUAAUGAGGUUCUAUUGUUUUUUUAAUGUUACAACCAUUUCCUAAUGCGGUUUUUCCAAUAAGAAACCGCCUUAAAAAAAAUAAUGCUUCACACUAUAAAUUACCUAAUAUAUUAGUGAUCAACCCGUACAUUUAUUAAAUACUUUCAACAAGGCCGGUCCUGUGGAUUAAAAUUAUCCUCAAAUGUUCAUGAAGAGCCAGAAAAAAUGUUCUUAUCACUGUUAUAAGUUUUUUAAACAUUAUAUAUAUAUAUAUAUAUANNNNNNNNNNNNNNNNNNUUAAAAUUGCGACCCAAAAAUAAUUAGAGCCAUCCUAAAUGAAGGCCGUAAGAUUUGAAAUUGGGUCCUCUAUAUGGAGUUUGCAUGAAGCAUAUUUAUCAAUUUUCAUAUUUUUAUAGAUAGGACAAUGCAUAGACAAGAUAUUAGCAAAAUAUAUUGUUUUAAUAUAUCAGCUCUUCAAAAUGGGUAAUUUUUAAUGUUUAAAUGGGUUACUUUUACACUUAUUAAAAACUCUAAUACUUUGUGGUACUAUCGAUUAUGCGAAGAGUUGGCCUCUUCGCAGUGAUAAGUGGUGGUGAUAGGUAAUCAGAAUCUUGUUGCAGGAAAUGAAAAGGGUGGGGAGGGGGAGUAUAUUUGUUUUACUAUUUGUUUUUUUAUAAAAUUUUAAACUAAUAAAAAAAUAUAUAAAUGGAAAAAAAUUAUUAAAGGUAAAAUAAUUAUUUUAUGUAAAUAAGGACUAACGACUAAGCGUGCAAAAAAAAAAGUUUUAAUUUUUAAAAAUGAUUAUUAAACCUGCAUUUUGACACAUGCACGAAGACAAAUGACGUAAUUUAUCUAAACUUUUAAUUAAUUGGAACAUAUAGAUAGAGAUGAUUUGAUCAUCUCAAAUUCCGACUUCGAAUCAUUAUCAACGAUUUUGAUUUUAAAAGUAUAUAUGUUCAUAACACUAUUAGCGAAAUGUUCGAGAUAGGUUGAAAUAAAUACAUCAAUCGACUAAAAGACUUUUCUAUGCGAAAGUUUAUUUAAAGAUAAUACAAAUUAUCAGUGAGUUAAUUUUAGUCUCUUAAGAUGAACAUAAAAUACUUUAAUCAUUAAUAAGAUACCACAUAGAUAAAUAUAUACGCAUGUAUCUAUAUAUCAUACAAUUAUACUAUUCGCUAGAUACAUAUAUUAUCGAAUACACAGUUUAACCGGGUCUUUCCCGAAUUCGAAGGAAGAUAUGUAUUCAAAUUCAAAUGGAUUAUUCCAGUGAAUCUUUAUCCAAAUCCGACCCGCAACUAACCAAUUCGUUUCAGAUUACUUGUCCUUGUGUAUUAAUUCCAGGAAUCCGAAUGUGCUAAAACUCUGGUGAAACACGUAAGAACAAAUUAUUUUGACACAAAUUGUGGGCUUUUCUUUCUGCCCCUCAGUUACAAUUUACAAACACAACAACAUGAGUCGGACUCUCGGUAGUCUCCAAAGACAUGGGCUCAGCGGAAUGCAGCUACGUUAAAUAUAAGAUACUAGUCUUAUGUCAUUUAUUUUAAGAAGAUGAUCCAACCAACCAUGAUGCAGUAAGACAAGCUUAGUACAACCCCCAUAGCGGCAUAGUACGAGUCUAUUUUGGCAACUGUAAACCUCAUAUUUAAUUUCUUUAUUGGUUAGUCAAUAUUGGUAUUAUACAGAAGGUCCUCUCAACAAUUGAAACCGUUCUUUUCAGUCACAUACUGCAUAUCUUCAAUUUUGUUGUUGAUUAAUAGUGUUGCAUAUCUUCAAUUAUUUUUUGAUUAAUAGUGUCGCUUACAAAUUUUACAACAAGCCGAAUAAGCUCUUCGCAUUAUAUCUACAGGUCAAAAUAAAAGGGCACCUGCUGCCUCUGUCUCUUCGCUCCUGAUUUAUCAAACACAGCCAGUGCUAACUUUAUCAUCGGGGUGUACACUUGCGUUCCGACCCGAGAAUACGACUAACCGAUUCGUUUCAGAAGAUACUUGAGCCAAGAUGAGAGCUAUGUUGUAGCCUCAUACUACACCGUGGAUCCAGGUACUCAUCGAUCAAUCAUUUUAUCCAUUUUAUCCAUUUAUAUAAUGUACAUAAUAUAUAUAUAUAUAUNNNNNNNNNNNNNNNNNNNNNNNNNNNNNNNNNNNNNNNNNNNNNNNNNNNNNNNNNNNNNNNNNNNUAUAUAUAUAUAUAAAGUAAAUCCCAAGGGAAAUAGAGAAAUCAGCAUUCGUGAACUACAAGAAUUCAAGCCAAUUUCGAAUUUUUGUGUUAACAAAACAAAUUAUGUUUACCUGUGGACGGCGAUGUGGGUGGCGACAGGAGAUGGAGAAGCACCGAUGUUGGUUAUGGAGCAGUACCGAUGGUGGUCAUGAACUAUAGCAGUAAGUGGAUGAAGCAUCGUUGGUCGACUGGUCAUACGAUGAUCGAUGAAGCAUGAUGAAGCCGAGAUGGAUCGACGAUGGAGAGGAGGAGCGUCGAUAGAAGGUUCGCCGCCACAGAUGGAGCAGCGAUGGUGAAAGCUUGCCUCGCCUGAGAUGGAGCAGCAUCGACGAUGGAAGGAGGCAAGGGAACGGAGAUGGAUUUGAAGCAAGGAACGACGGUGAAUAGUGCGUUCGCGAGAAGACGAUAGAUAGAUGAUGAGUUAGGUUAGGUUAGUGUCGGGUGGAAGAUUGAGGAAGACACGUUUAUUUAUUUAGGUUAAAAGUCAAUACUAUGAUUAUAGGGAUUAUUUUUGAAAGUUACUAAACAAAUUACUAAAUUACCCUUAUUUAUUUAUUUAAUUAUUUAAUUUUGAUUGGUCCACAUUUAAGCAUAUAAUAACACAAUAACUACUUUAAAUAAUNNNNNNNNNNNNNNNNNNNNNNNNNNNNNCAAUAGAGAAUCAUAAUUAACCAAGAAACCAAUUGUGAACGUCAGAAAUCAUAACGAUCAACGGCCAAGGAAAUAGAUGUACACUUUUACAUUGGACGCACACACCAGAUUAUACCAAAAAAAUCCACCCUUGACAAAAAAACCACCACUUUUUUUUGUUUAAAAAUUUUUUUAGGCCAUGUUUUUUAUCGAAAAAAAAAACGAAUAUACCAUUGUUCACGAUUUUUCGUCAUUUUCCCAUAGAGAUCCAUGAUGAUAUAUAAAAAACGAACUUUUUUUUCAAAAAAAACUCACUUCAUUUUCUUUGAUGAAAAAAGUUAAGGUCUAUUUUUUAUUGAAAAAAAAUUUAAUAAAUAUAUCAAAAUUCAUAUUUUUUGUACUUUUUAAACAUAGAUUCAUAUUCAUGUUUAAAAAAAUGAUAUUUAAGUUCAGAUUCACAUUGUGAACAUGUUCAGAUUCAUAUUGUAAACCUGUUCAGAUUCACAUUGUGAAUCUCCUCGGAUUCACAGUGUGCAUAAUAAUAAGUCAGAUUCACAGUGUGAAUCUGAACUGAUCGGAGCUUUUUCACAUUGUGAAUGUUAAAAUUUGAAAUAUUUACAGUUUAGAUUCACAGUGUGAAUCUACACUGAUCGAGGUUUUUUUUUGUGAACCUUCUCAGAUUCACAAUGUGCAUAAUAAUAAUUCAGAUUCACAAUGUGUAUCUGAACUGUUCGAGAUUUUUCAUAUUGUGAAUGUUAAAAAUUGAAAUAUUUAUAGUUUAGAUUCACAAUGUGAAUUUACACUGUUCGAGUUUUUUUUAAUCGGUGUUGAUAUUUAUUAAUAGAGUACACAAAAUUAAUAUUUUUGGCAUAAUUAGUUUUUUUUUUUGAUAAAAAUAAACUUAAAUAUUGAAAAAACUAAGAAAAUUAAGUGGGUAAUUUAUAAAAAAAAAAAGUUGGUUUUUUAUAUCAUCAUGGAUCUCUAUGGAAAGAGGACGAAAAAUCGUGAACAACGGUAUAUUCGGUUAUUUUUUUCGAUAAAAAAUUUGGCCUAAAAAAAUUAAAAAUGAAAAAAAAAAAGUGGGUUUUGUUAUAAUCCGGUAUAUGUGCGUCCAUUAUAAAAGUUUACAACCCUUCCUUUUGCUUAGCAUUCUAAGUUUAAGUCUAGAAAUCAUAUAAAUUCCUAGUUCGCUUAAACUUAAUGGUUUGAUACCAACUGUGUCAUCCCCAAUUUCACGGUCAGAAAAGACUGAUUUCUUUAUGCUUAUUUAAAAAUCAUAUUAUCCUUUUUGAGGAUUAACAUUGCAGAAUUUGUUUCCAGAAAACAUGAUAAUGAUAUUAUCAAAUCAUUUCUGAUGAAAUGUAUUUUAUUUAUAUUAAAACAUUGAGAUUUCAUUGUCAAUACAGAAACGUAAGCAUAACGAAAUAUUACAAGCCUUAAAAUAAUUAAACAAGUGGCAUAAUACUCCUUGAAUCUCUCAGCAGAAUGUAUUUUUAAUAUCACCACCUGUGAUACAAUAAACUGAGUGGGUCGGGUUGGCAAACUUGGUGAGUACAUAGAGUUUUCAACUCAUAAUAUUAUAAUCAAUAUGUUUAAUCAUCAACCAAUUAACCCAAUGUCCCAUCCCCAUUAUCUUCUUUAUUUUUAAGUAUCUACCCUAAGGAUCAUCUAUGUUGAUAGUACUAGUUCAUGGAUUCAUCCAUGGUACUUGUCAGUAUAUAUUCUUCUAUAUUUAUUCUUAAGGAUUUGUCAUAAGGAAUAGGCACAAAGUCCAUUGCGCUAUCAGGGUUUAUCUAAUAGACACUAAGUCCAUAGUUGUCAGUGUUUAUCUAUGAUGUGUAUAUAAAUGCACGGGUUUUAGUCCUACUUUUGAGAUGAAAUUUAAACACACAAAGGCAGUAAACCUGUCUAUUAGUGAUAUAGUUGAAUAAGUAGGGUAUCGAACACAGGGAACGGAAAAUUAAACUAAUAUCUAGAAUUAACUAAGCAAAUAGAUUAAGUAAAAUGUUUUCUCUAGUUUUUCAAGACUAGAAACUUUGACAAACUAUCUAACACGCAAUUUAAACAACUAACAGCUAAAACAAGUAAAAACCAACUAAAUUCAGUAAUCAAAAGGGGUUUCUGUUUAAGUUCGAUUCAUUUACUCAUAUGGUUAAUUUUAUGUCAAUGCAAUGGAUUAAUUGUUAUUGCUUACCGACUAAGGUGAUUAGAUUCACAUUCGCUAUUACCAAUCCUUAGAAAAUAAAUUAAUUUAAGUAGUGAUCAAGUAAUUAAACUAAUAAAUUCCCUAGUUUAAUUAUUCGGAUAAAAUAAGACUUGUAAUUAGUUAAUCAAAUUAAUAAUUCAAUUAACCUCUUUUUGAUGGUUUAUCACACAAAAGCUCACACAUUAAUUUACUCAUUCUCUAGUUAAUCCUAGUUUCACAUUCAUUAUUCCUAGGCAUAUAACAAUGUUUUCACAUAAAUCAUAUAAGGUAAGCAAUUAAGAGAUGUUCAUGCAGCCAAAUUACUUGACAAUUAACAGAAAAUAGUUAUGGUUAAUGCAUAAGGGUCUUUAACAAGCUUAAUUUAACAAAGUUCACCAAAUAAAAAUCAAUUCAAACAUAAAUUAAUCCAUAAGAGCAAACUUAUCUACCCUAAAUAGAAACUAACGAAAUUAGUUCAUAAUUACAGCAAAUAAAUACCUAAACACGAAUUCAAUCAAACCAAACAUAGUUCUAAUCAAGAAUAAAGUGGAAAAGUAAACUUAUGUUGCCUUAAUCUUCUUAGAAUUGAGGAUUAGGUUUCUUCACGAUUUCCAAGGCUCCAGAUGUAUUCUUGGUCACAAGGUAACUCCACUAGGAUUCUCUAACCAACCUCAAUUUGGGAAUGUGACUUCUAUUUAUAAUUUUCGGAAAACAGGGGCUACUCGUCGAGUAGAGAACUGACUAGCCGAGUCCCCCUUAUGGAAUCCGUAUACGGCAAGGACUUUACGUAUUGCUUCACGAACCUUCAUGGGUACUCGUCGAGUAGACGUCCUUACUCGUCGAGUGGCUUCAGAAUUGGACUCUUUUCUUCUCUCUUUAGUUCCCGAGCUUCCGAUCGCCUCUCCUGCUUCCUUUUUACUUCCGAGCAUAUCUUUUGGACUGAAAAUACAAUUUAAACACUAUUAAGUACCUUUUGUCCGUAAUUUGCAAAUAAUUAGCUAAUAAAUAAUAAAAAUCUAUACUAAAUAUAUAGCUAAAUAUGCACAUAUUAGUAUAUUAGGCACUAAGUCCAUAGUUGACAGUGUUUAUCUAUUAGGCACUAUGUUCAUAGCUUCCAGGCUUUAUCUUCUUUAUUGACGGUAUUAUUUUAGGGAGUCCACUUACAGUACAUUUCAAUCAGUUUUUAGAUUAUAUUUGAUGAACACAUGGUUCACAAACACCUACAGGUUGCGAGCAUGCUAGCAUUCCACUAGUUUGUCUAGAAUAGUUUGUGGUUGUCAUCUCUGCUAAAUGACAUCAUCUUUAAAGUCAAGGCCUCUCAUUAUCUAUUUCAUCUUUCAUCUAUCAUCAUCUAUAUCAGCUUUCAUCUACCCAUCUUUACCAAAUAUAUUUAUUGGUAUAAAAAUACAUAUAAAUUUUAAAUCAAGUAAAACAUGUAUAAAUCGUUCAUCUAGCAUAUAUAUCAGGAACACGGAUAAUAGGAACAUGUAGCAUGUAAUUAUCUUAAAUUCAUCAUAUCUAUGUGUAAGAUUGAAGUAAAUAUGCACUCACUUAUUAAAGUGACGACUCGAAAUUCGGAUAUCGCUUCGCUUCUAGCAACUGUCUUUUACUUUGACGUAACCUAGUAUUAUUAUCACUAAGUCUUAGUCUAAUAUUUAUCGUGACUAAUUAUUAGUCUAGAUCCAUCAUUGAUUCAAAUUCUACGGAUCUAUAGCUUAUAAGGGUCAACCAGGUAGGAUCAUAUCGGAGGUAGGGUCCGUUUGGUAUACAAAGUAUACUGUUUGGAAAUCUCACUUUAAACACCUCACUAAAUCCAGCCUAGACAUCCUCCAUGUAAGUAGAUAAAUCAAUAUAAUGACUUGGAAUCAUUGAUAAAUCUUUUUAUAUGUUCAUAAUAAUUAUAAUGAAUUUAAACAUAAGUUAUACUUAAAGCACGGUAAGCAUAACUCAACUUACAAGUGGUUUAGUGAGAAACCAGACUCUGCCCGGACAGAACUUCUAAACCAAAAGCUCUAUUUCUCAAGGCUUUCUGGCACUCUGCAGCUUCGCUACUAACACUUAGGAAGUGCUAGAGAAAGGAAUUGAGGCCAUUGGGGUAGGGGGCUUGUGAGAGAAUAGAAUGGAGAUGUGUAAGGAAAAGAGUGAAAUUCGCUUCUAUUUAUAGGUUGAAAUAUGCCCAGUAUGUUGGGUGUACACAACAUUAUGCUGGACGUAAUGGGUUAAAUAGGGUUAUGUUGGGCAUACAUAAGAAUUAUGUUGGGCGUAAUUGCCACAUGCCAUCUUCUAGUGACAAGCCGUGGGAAGGAAGUGAGUGCACCAAAUCGCGAUACGUGUCACACCGAGGUUAAUCCAAAAAUUAAUUAUCUUGUAAAAUUCAUAACUUCGUAUACGAGCUCCAUUUUUAGAUGUUUUUAUAUCCACACAUAGCUAUCGACAAGAUAUACAACUUUAGUUUAGACUCCGUCGGCUAAUUUUGACUUUAUUUUUAAAGUUAUAUUUUAACAGUCCUAGACAGUUGAAGUCCGUUAAAAAUCCAUAACUUUGUCAUCCGACGUCCGUUUUCGACUGUCUAUAUAUCAUUCAUCUCUUAUUGACGAAAUCUUCAAUUCUCAUUUAGAUUGUGUUAGCUAAUAAUUGAUCGAUCUAAAAUUCGAUUUCCGAGUUGUACACUGUUACGCUGAAUCUUAGAAAAAUCAUAACUUCCUCAAAUGAAGUCAGAUUUGGACAUUCUCUAUAUGCACGCUCUCGGUUUAAUGACUUCUAUGAAUUUUAUUUUAUAUUACUAAGGCUAAAAAGUAAUUUAUCAAAAAUUUACUUUUUACGAUAUGCAUAUAUGUUCCGGUUUAUUCGUGAAACUUCAAUGGGUCAUAACUUCUUCGUUAUAAGUUAGAUUUCAGUGUUCUUUAUAUGUAUGGAAUCCUUGUGACAUAUAUCAUAACUUUGUUUGAGAUUAUUUAUCCUAAAUAAUAUUCUAUCAAAAAAUAAUUUUUAACAUUUUUUAUCUCUAAAUUGGCUAACCCGAAUCUAUGGGCGUUACAUCAUACUAAUGUGAACUCAUUAUUUCAUGAAUAUGUUAACUUGCAUGCUGCAAAGGUUAAAUAAUCUCAUAGUGAUUUAUUUGACCCUAUUGUGCAGCUCUUGUCUGAGUCCAACCGUUGUAGGGUUGAGUAUUUUACUUGAAGGAUUAUCUAAGCUUUGUUGCACAUGAUUGUAUUCAUGAAGUAUUUAGAUGGAAUUAGUGGGAGUCUUUAGGAACUGAUGGUAGGGUGAGGACAAGGAACCAAGAAGAGCCUAAGAGGUGUCUUAGUAGGUAUGGAUGCGCUGUUCAGCAAGUAUUUAGAGUACCUGAUUGAGAGGGUGACUAGAGGAUUCAGGAUAAUUCUUGAGGAAAGUAUGGAUAGGUGUAGAAGUUAGUAUUGGGCCCGUACUACUGGAAGCACAGAAUCCAUACAUGAAUCAAGGAUGAUCACAGUAAUCUAGGAAGCAUGUAGGAUUAGGACUCUUUGAGUGUGUUCUGAUUAUUGUUUGGUUGCUUUUGAGAAUGGUGAUGAGCACUCGUGGAGGAGGUUUGGGUUCUGAUUCAGGCUCAUGUGUUGGCGUUGAACCGAUUGAUGAGUGGAUGUAGGAGUUCAUCUUGUCGGAGAUCACCCACGGUAUUUUGGAACAAAUUAUUAUGAUCUUUAGUACAAUCAAGGAGGGGAUCAUGGAGAUUAUGCAAGAGCGUCUGAUCGCAUAUCGCACUAAGGUUAUGGAGUUGUUGGAUGAGCGACUCAAGGCUUUUCGGGCUGAGAUUGCGGCAUUAUAGUUGGGAGCACGGACUCCCUCAUUUCGAGAGUUCACGACUUGUAGAGCUCUAGAGUUCCUUGGGUCGAAGGACCCCAUUGCUAGCCACCGAUGGAUCGUUGACAUAUAGAAUGCUCAGUGGGCAAGUUUCUGCCCUGAGGAGGCAAAAUUGGGAUUUGCAUCUUGUCUUUUAAGGGACCAAGCCCAUGAUUAGUAAAAGGAGAUCGGUAGUGCAUUGGGAUCUGUAGCCGUUGUGGCCAUGUCUUCGGAGGAUCUUGCACCAAAAAUUAAGGUGCAGCAGCUGGUAAGGGAAGUUUCAAGACCUUCUUCAGACUACUAAGACUGUGGCAGAUAUCACUGCCAAGUUUUGGGAGAGGGCUUGUUGGUUCUGCAGUAUAUGGUGGACGAGGAGAUGAAGAAGGUGAGGUAUUAUGAUAUGCUGAGAGAUAACAUCAAGGAGUUUAUGAGCUUGUCAAGGUGCAAGACCCUUAAUGAUAUGAUUGCUAGAGCCCAAGAGCAGGAGAUUGAAUUGGAGCACCUUGUGAAGAGGAAUUCAGAGCAGAUUCAGAUUGCAGUGGGCCAAGCGAAGAGGCCCAGGACUCAGGAUUCAUGUCUAUGAAGCCAUAAGGUUUGUGGCCAUUGUGCCAAGUGUGGGAGGACCCAUGAGGGAGACUUACAGAAGACAAGGAGUGGAUGUUUUAAUUAUGGUCAGAUGGGUCAUUUCAGUAGGGAUUUCCCUUAAGGAUCCAUUUCGAUGUGGUUUCAUUCCAAUCAGGUGGGACACAAAAAGACCGAUUGUCUAAGGUUAUUGAGUGGAGCAGCAAGGGCACUUGCUCCAGCUACUUUGAGGAUCACUGGUGGUCGUGAGGGCAGAUCAGAAGCCCCAUCAGUGAGGAGCUGAGCAUUGCAACCUUAAUUGGGAGAGGCUAGAGUUUCAUCAGGUGCUAUCAUGGGUAUGUUAUCUUUUGUUUUCCCAUGCCUUAUUAUUUUUAUAUAUGUGCUUUUGAAUCAUGUGCUUGUAUGUGUAAGGCAUUAUCUUCGGCUUAGUUUCUAUGUAAUUACCUGGUUAACAUUAUCAAAGGUCGUUAUAUGUCAAUCUGCAUGUCGAGAGUUAUGAAUGGGGCAUGUCUUUUUGAGCUAGAUUUAUAUUAUCGAGCACCUUGUUGUGGGCAUCGAUGGAAGCAGUUUAGGGGUACCACUUAGAAGAUCGGUAUUUAGAUUAGCGUGUUAGUUCAGCAUCGGGGUAGAGGGAGUUAUAGAACAAGUAUGUUGGCUUUUGGAAAUUCAAGAUAGAUUUGGGUUGCAGUCGAUUGAUUAGGAUUUAAGUGCAAGAGGGUUGAUGUCGGAUCAUUGUUCUCAGAACGUGAGGGUGGUCCUUACAUCAGAAGCUUGAGGCAAAGAUCUCUUGGAAAUUGGUUGUGCCCCUAUUCGAAUAACAUAGUCAAAGUUCAGAAGUGCUUGCGUCACUCAGUAUGGAUGGAAGUGGUUUAUUGAUGGACUCUCGGGUGUGAUCGUUACCAUUACUAGGAAAGGAGAAGUGACGAGUGGGUAAUGAUGAUGGUCGUGUGGGCUAGAAUUGGCAAGGGAAUUUUGAAUUGUAAUGGUUGAAGAUGUUUAGAAUGCAUAAAUCCUUCAAUAAGUGGGAUGUUGGGAUGGUGAUCCAUCAGCUUCGGUAUAGGGGUUUGUAUUUGUUGUCUUUACUAAGGUUGGCAGGGUGUAGUUAAAUCCAAGUGGAGGAGAACCAUUUGGAUUUCGGGGAUAUAAUCAAGUGCGGAACCAGGAAGAGUUCCAUAUCUUAUUCGAGAUGGAAGCUAGUUCAUGUGGCAAUCUGGAUAGAGGUUGCACAAGGUUGGGGGUUUAGAAACUCUCAACGAUAGGGUGACACAUUCGUAGUGAUUCAUAGUAGAUAUGUGGUUUGAUCCAGGUUGAGGGUUGUGUUAGAGCAUCUCUAAAUGUUCUUAUCUGGUGAGGGCAUUUGGGUUUGAAGCAUGAACCGAACACCUAAUUGGGAUGCAGUCAAUGUAGUUCGACCCAUGUUUGAUUGUGGGUUGGUAUGGUAGAUGGAGAGCAAGACCAUGAGUUGGCUCAUGGAUAAUAUGGGAGUGUUGUAAGACUACAGGGUAACCGUAGCAUACACAAGGAUGAGAGGUUGACAGGGAAGUGUUAUAAGUUUGCGAUGUAGUCACGACAAUCACCAGAAUGAGAUAGGUCAUUAUAGGAGUGGUCAUUGGGCAGAUAAAGGAUCAGAGCAUGCGUUGGUUGAGAUGGACAGUAUUGUAAGAGGAUUUAUCUUGUUUUGGUAUGAGGAUCAUUAGAUCCAAGGCAAGGUUAGGCCUGUGUAGCACUCGUUCGGGUGAGACUCGUGGGUGAGGCCCAUUCAAUUGUGCAGGCUAGGUGAGACCCGUAGGUGAGGCCCAUAGGGUUAUGAUAUAGUGGGUGAGACCUGGUGGAAAUUGGCUUGAGCAAGGUACUAGACCACAUCUAUAGUGGGAUGACUCUGUGUUUAUUGGUUGUUAUCAGUGUGAUGGUUAGGCUACGGUAUCCCUUAUCAGUUAGAUUCUUAGUCGGAGCCUUGUGGUGGGACCAAGUGUGAGAUUGUUAGUCUCUGCGAUUGAUUAAGGAGUUUAUAUCUCAAUUCAGUAGGACGUCAUCAUGGAAUUAGAAGAUUUUGGAUAGAAGCAAGUACGAGUCUUUGAAUUUUGGAAUAUGAGUCAUGUUCUUGGUUGGCACAAAGGGUUAGGAGUAACCUUUUCUUUUAUGAAAGAUCUUUUCAAUAACAAGGUAAGGUAAAGGAUUCUACCUGCUAAGGGUAUCGGUUGGACAAUUUAGGAUCAGUUCAGAUUGCAGAGAGAGGAUCUAUUGAUUGUGUUUUGGAAUGGUUCUGCUUGUGAGGAGGUCAGGUAAAUUUUUGGGGGUUUCGAACUUAUAACAGUGAAAUGUCGGUUUUUCCGCAUUGAAUAAAUUAGUGGAUCAAUAAUUCGUUCUACAUCAAGAUGUAUGAGUGUUGAUAUGAUUGGGUUUCGAUGGUAGCAAUGAAAGGUCGCUAUGAGUAUGAGCCAACUUUUCAUCAAAGCAAGGUUCAAGAGGAAUUGGACAGAUCGUCUAAUCUCCAAGAAGGUAGUAAGGGAGAGUUGUAACAUCCUAUUUCAAGUCGUUUGUGACAUCCCCAUUUUCACGGCCAGAAAAGACCGAUUUUGUUUAUGCUUUAUAAAAAUCAGAGUAUCUCUUUUAAGAAAUAUGUUGCAGAAUUUGUUCCCAGAAAAACAUAAUAAACACGUUAUCAAAGCAUUUCCGAGGAAAUGUAUUUUUAUUCAUUUUAAAACAUUUAGGAUGUCAUCGUCGAUACAAAAACAUAAGAAUAAACAGAACUUACGUUCGUUAUCACUAGUGAUUUAUAUCUCAUUAAUCUCUCAGUGUAAUGUGACUUCAUAUCAACACCUGUGAUAUAAAUAAACUGAGUGGGUCAGGUUGGAAACCUGGUGAAUACAUAGGGAUUUCAAUCCCACAACGUUAUAUCAUAUAUAUAAUUUAGAACUCACACAAUAUACAAUUUCACCAUAUAUGUACAAGCAACUCUUAUCCCACCCCGUCGAUCCUCACANUUCCCCCCCCCCGUCGACCCCCACAACGAGACUAUCCAUACUCUCAAACCUAAGAUUAUCCGUUUUACCUAAUCCAUACUCCUGGAUCAGAAAUGAACGACUUUACCUAAUCCAUACUCUCAGAUUAACGACGAAUGGUUAUGCCUAGUCCAUACUCUCGGACUAGGGAAGAAUGACUAAUCCAUACUCUCGGAUUAAUGACGAAUGAUUGUGCCUAAUCCAUACUCUCGGACUAGGGACGGAUGACUGAUCCAUGCUCUCGGAUUAAUGGCGAAUGACUAUGCCUAAUCCAUACUCUCGGACUAGGGACGAAUGACUAUGUCUAAUCCAUGCUCACGGAUCGAUGACAUAUUCAAAAGUUCUAUUCUUAGAGUAUAACUCACUUGUACUCGUAAGAAAAUACUACCCAAUAUUCCUCAUAAUUAAUUUAUGUUUACUCUUUAUCCUAAAUCAACAUAUAUAAUCAGGUAUGUUCUUUAACACGUAUUUCAGGCAACAUCAAUUCACCUGCACAUAAACAUAUAAUUAAUAUUUCAAUCAAUACUUGUAUUAAAAUCAUGUUCAUGAAAGGGACUAUGCACUCACUUGAAAGGUGGUGACUCAGCACUCGGACAGCGCUUCGAUACUCUCAAAACAAUUUUCCUGCGAUAAAACCUAGUAUCAAUGACACUGGGGUUUAGUCUAACGAUAAAAGCGACAAAUAAAUAGUCUGACUAUUAUUACUAUUAUGUAAGCGUUAAACAAUACUUAUAUAACUCAUAAUAAUAGCCCAAAUAAUUAUUUUAAGGUCCUAAUAAAGUUACUAUAAUUAAUUAGAAGUUAUAUUAAAAAUUGUGUAAGCGUAGCUCACUUACAGCGGAUUUUAAAGAAAACCGGGCUUUGCUUGGAGCAGCGUUUCGAAACCGAAAGACAAUUUUUCUUGGGACUCCGGGAGCCUCGAGGCUUCCUUCGGGUGUUAGUGGGGUUUCCUAGGGUUUUGGGGGGUUAAAAUGGGUUAGAGAGAGAAAGAUUGUAGAGAGAGUGAAUUUUUGGUGUGAAAAAUCGGAUGCCCUCGCACCCCUUUUAUAGGUGCGAGGCUUCGCACUACGCGGGGCGUUCAGCAGGUUAAGCGGGGCGUAACUUCGGAUAAGGUCAGCAUGUGGCAAGCUCCGGAUGGUGCGACGUGGCUUAAGCCGGACCGAGGGAAGGCUUGCGUACACGGCACAUUCCGAGCUCGGACGUUGGGCGUAGCGAGGGGCGACGCGUCCUUCAUCCGAAGCAAGGCGUGAUCAGCAAGCAACGGCUAGGAUCUUGCCACGUCAUCAGUCGAGCAACUGGCUUCGCAAAUUCGAGUCUAAACUUGGAAAAUUCGUAACUUUUGUGUACGAGCUCCAUUAUCGACGUUCUUUAUAUCCACGCGAAGGAGGGAACGUACUCUACAACUUUCGAUCAGACUCUGUCGGCUAAUUUUGACUUUAUUUUAAAAGUUAUACUAUUUAACAGAUCGGGACACGAUUGGUCCAUUAAAAAUUCAUAACUUCUUCAUCCGACGUCCGUUUUCGUCUGUCUUUUUAUCGUUACGCUACAAUUAACGAGAUCUUCGAUUCUCGCUUACGUUGUGUCGGCUAAAAACCGCUCGAUCUAAUAUUCGGAUUUCGGGUUAUACACUACUAAAUAGAAACUUCGAAAAAUCAUAACUUCCUCAUACGAAGUCAGAUUUGGGCGUUCUUUUUAUGAACGCUCUCGGUUUAACGAAUUCUACGACUUUCGUUUAGAUCUCUAAGGCUGAAUAUUGUUUCAUCGCAAAUUCACUAUUUACGCUUCCCAGUGUCGUGCCAGUUCCGUCGCGAAACUUCGACGGGUCAUAACUUCUUCGUUAUAACUCGGAUUUCAGCGUUCUUUAUAUGUACAAAAACCUCAUGACAUAUUCUACAACUUGGUUAAGAUUAUUUAUUCUAAAUAAUUUUUUUUCGAAAAGUCGUUUUCGACACUUAUUGCCUCUAAAUUGUCUAGCCCGGAUCUGCGGGCGUCACAAUUAUCUCCCCCUUAGGAUGAUUACAUCCCGGAAUCAUCAACGAAACAGGUCAGUAUAAUGACUCCAUACGUCACCUCUUCAUCCUAGGUAAUAAUCGUAACUUCUAUGUUUCUUCGAACGAGUAUCUAACUCUAAGACUUCCUGACUGCAGGCGGUGCUUGAUCUUGCACCUGCUCCCUAUCUCAUGUUAGACUCCAAAUUAUGACCUUCAAGUCAUAAUCUCGAUCCUUACUAGGGACUCCUUCUUAUUCUUAACAACUUAAGAUAAUUUGUUUGAUUUCCACAAUAGACCGAUGGAUCAUAUUCCAAUGACUUCUCAUCGUGUGUCGCAACGCUUAGACUUAGGUCUCUUAGAGUCAAAUUCUGGAAUGGAAUACACUUUCCUUCAUGUUCUAAUGUGAUAUAAUCACAUUCUAGCAUGUAGUAUUUCUAGUUACAAGCUUCUUACUUUAACGACGAUUCGCAAUAAUCCUAUUGGUUGCUUCGAUUAUCUUUUAUUUCAAUCUUCCGACUUAAGUCAGAUGUUACAUCAAACUUUGUUCUCUACACCACGUAGCAUAUGCAUCUUAGUCGGACUCGAUUUGAUAUGACCACUAGGUUCGGAAUAACAAUCAUCUUCUUAGUCAUUUCUGAAACGAUGGUAACGACAUACUUGAAUAAAACAGUAUCAUUUACUAGCUUCUUGGUAACCUUGUGACUUUCCCUAAUCCAAGUGCGAGUCAUGUGCUUCCGGUAGUAUAGGCCUCUACUACCAUUCACACCUACUCAUACUCGUCUCAAGUAUUGUCUCACAGUUUUUCCAAGUCACCAUAAAAUAAAAUCACACAACAGCUUAACACAUUGGAUAGCAAAAUGAAGGUUUUUAUAUUAUUCCUUGAAACGAUUACAUAGGUGUUCAAGUUCAACCUAGACUAUGCCUUUAAUAGGCUACACCAUAACAGACUAUCUACAUGGCUUCUUCAUAACUUGAUCUUCAUAUAUCCAUCCUCACUCAUGAUUUCUUGCAUCGUCUGCUGCUUCGUCUAGGAUGAUAUGGAAUGCUCUUGCCUUCGGUUUUGGCGGCACAUUUGGUUUUGCUGCUUCUUAUCUCCUUGGGCAAUCUUGCUUGAAGUGUCCCUCUUCACCACACUUAAAGCAGACUUCUCUCUUGGUUGUGCAUUCGUUGGCAUAAUGACCAGUCUUCCCGCAUUUAAAGCAGGUCAUCUCUUUAGAGCAUUUCCUAAUGUGCUUCUUUCUGUACUUGUCACACCAUUGCGUUCCUUCUUCGAACUUCUUUGAACCAGUCUUCAAGAAUUUUCUCUUUUCGUCGGACCUUGAGGAUCCUUCAAACUUUCUCUUCUCGCCAACCUCCAUCGUGUUGGCGGCUCUUCCCUUGAUCAUAUCUUCAACAUACUUGGCAACCCAGAUAGCUGCUUCCAGAGUAGGUUCCUGACGUACUGGCACCGCAUACUCCCAUGGAAGUCCCUUUGCGUACUUGUCAAUUUUUGUCAGCUCGUCUGGGACAAGGCACAAAGCAAACUCCAUCUUGUCCGUGAAGUUGUUGGUGUAUUCAUCGAUGGUCAUGCUUCUUUUCUUCAAGGUUAGGAAUUGGUUCUCCAACUCAAGAAGGUUGUGGGCUAAACAGUACUUAUGUUUGAAUUGCACCAAAAGCUCUGCCCAAGUCAAUUGCAGGGGCUCACUGGGGCUUAGAGUCUUCCCCAGGGUGUUCCACCAGCGAACAGCGCCUCCUCUGAAUUGACGUACUACAAAUGUGGUUUGUAGCUUGCUUGUGUAACCACAUGUCAUGAAGGCUAAUUCCAUUUCUGAGAUCCAAUCCAUGACUCCGAUCGGAUCUUCCUUCCCAAUGAAAGUCAAUGGCUUGCAAGUUAGAAAAUCUUUGUACUUGCAUCCAUUCCUCUCGACUCUGUCAUCUUGAUUGUUCCUCCUAAUCAUCGGUGGAUCAGCCUAACCAACGGUCCUGCUGUCGUUCCCUUCCUCAGACUGUUUUUCAUUCAACUCGGGUUGUUCAAUAGGCAUCGUAAGUUCCUCUCGAGUUUGUUGAAGUAAACGCCUUGUUUCCUCCAUUUGACGAUCCAACAUCAUCUGGAUCAACGCUUGAACUCCAGCCAUCAGUUUGGCUCAGGAGCGGCUACUACAACAGGUAUUUGUGUUGGAUUAGUGUCUAAGUCCAUAACUAUUUUGGUAUGUACUUGACCCGAUGGUGCAUGGUCCUUUUGGGUUGCCUUCACCAAAGCAACUUGAUAGGAUGAAUUAUGGAGAGAAAGGAUUAAAUAUGAUUUAUUAAUAUAUUAUGGGAAUAAUAUAUUAAAGGAGAAAUCAUAUUGUUUAAUUAAUAUUAGUCAAUAAUUAAUUGGUAAUUAGUUUUGUGACUAAAAGAGAUUAAUUAAACUUAAGGGACUGGAAUUGUAAUUAUAAGAUAAUUGCAAUUUGGGCCAUGGAUUGUCUUAAAUCAAGAGCUGGACGAAUUCUUAUGGGAAGCCCGUAAGGAGAUCGUCCAAGGGCUUGAUUAAAGGAGUCUAUGGGUUGCUUAGGGCUUAAGCAACCAAAUUAGGGUUUCCUUGUUAGAUAACCCUAAUAGCCUCACUAUAUAUAGAACCCUUAAGGCUCAAAAACGUGGGGAACUUCUUUUCUAGGGUUAGAACACGUUUUGGGCAGCCUCCAUCCUCUCUCCUCUUCAUCCUCUUGCUUAUGGUGUUUGUGAACCAUUAGAGGAGUGACACUUGUGACUCUAAGCCUUCCAAAGUCAAUUCAAGGAGGAAUUGGGAUUGUUAUUGCUACAUAACAAUCAAGGUAAUAUCUUAAACCUAAUUAUAUGUUAAUAUUGAUUUCCAUAUGCUAGAAUUAGGGUUUAUAGUCUUGGAUUCAAAGCAUGUACAAUAGAGAAACCUAGAUCCAAGCAUUAGGGUUUGUAUGAGCACAUAGGAUGUCUUAUGACCAAAACCCAUCAGUAGUAUCAGAGCCUAGAUUGGUUUCAAUUGUAUUGAUGCAUUGUAUAACUGGAAAAUUCGUUUUUUGGGUUUCUGGAGGCUGGACUCGCCGAGUCCAUGCCUGAACUCGCCGAGUCCAUGCAGACUCGACGAGUCCAAGCUUGACUCGACGAGUCAACUCGUCAGAUGGAGGGUAUUUCGCGAUUUCUUGCUGUUUUUGCUUAUGGAUAGUUACCUUAUCAUGUUAGAUCAAUAUUAAUCCGAUUAUAUGAUAUAUUUGACUAUAAUUUUGAUCUAAUUGAAGAUAUUUAUCAAUUAAUAAGAUAAUUGUUUCCUUAUAAGAUAAUUGAUUAAUUAUUUUGACUAAAUUGAUAAAUUGUUUUGCAAGAAAUCAUUAAACAAAUCAAAUAUGGAUAAUUAUGUGAUUAAAUGUUAAUUUGAAUUAUUUGUUAUUUGAUCCUUGUUGUUAUGAAAAGUUUCAUAUUUUGCCCUUUAGGUUUUAUAGUUUAAAUUUGAACCCAAAAGUUUUGUUGUUUUGAAAUUUAAAUAGUUGAAACCCUAAUGUUUUGAAAAAGGUUUCAAAACUUGCCCUCAAGUUUUGGAAUUUAAAUUUUGAUUAAAUGGUUUAAUUUUGAUGUAUAUUUAAAUUCUAAACCCUAAUGUGUUGAAAUGUUUCAAAACUUGCCCUCAAGUUUUGGAAUUUAAAAGUUGAUUAAAAGUUUAAUUAGGAAUGUUAAAUUCUAAAACUCUAGUAUAGUUUUGAAAAAGUUCAAAUCACACCCUUAUGGUUUUAUUAAUUAAUUAAGGUGUAUAAUUAAAAGAGGUUUAAUAAAUCCAUAAAAGUUUAGGUUUACAAUUUAAUUGAAUUAAAAGUAUAAUUGUUAAAUUAGACCACCUAGUAUUUUAAAAGUAUAAAAUACACCCUAUACUAUAUAUAUAACAUUAAAGGUAUAACAUUAUAUAUAUGUAUGAGUAAAAGUCAGUCUUACCGUUAGUAGGCCUCAUUCACGAAGCUGGUCUAUAAGGGGUGUUUAAGGAAAUUGCCUAUAAAAUGGCGAUUGAAUGGGUAUCCACUCUUACCCACCGCACUCUUGACUAGUGGAGGGUCGUUAGCCGAACGGGUAGGAUAGGACGAAACCUUCCAUUAUAAGUAUAAUGAAUUAUUAAAGUAACUAAAUGUUUUCAUAAAAUUCCCAAUCUUAGUUACUUAGGCAAAAGUGAAUUGAUGCAAUUCCAUGAAAUUACACUUUGUGCCCUUGCGAAGACGUUAGUGGAGCGUGUGUGGUUUACCGGCACACUAAAUGGUUCUAAGCAAAGGUAGCAAAGGGUGACUCAAUGUUUGUCAUAGUUCGGUGGAGCGUGUGUGGUUUACCGGCACAUCGAAUAGGUGACUGUAACAUGUGAGGGCACCAUGUAAGUUUGCAUGGUUAUUCACACCCGCUUUGUGAUCCUCGGCAUCCCAGUCACAAACAAGAGGGGCAUAUCGAGAUUUAAACAUGCCAUUGAAAGUUCAAUGAAUCUCAAAGGAUCUAGGAGUUUUCAUAGAUUUAAAACUUAAAUUUCUUUUUCGUUUUUCAUGGUGGAAAUUAGUGAAUCGUCAUUCACUUACCUUCAAAUAUUCUGCAAUUAGGGUUACGGCAUCCCUCUCCCGAGUUGUAGAAUAUUGUGUUGGGUCCUAGCCUUAGUAUCUCAUUUGGGUGAUUUACUAAGGACUCAAUCAAUCAACUAACUUGAAUUCGUUUUCUCCCGUUUUGUAGAUGUCAAAGUUCGACAACUAUGGUCUUCCCAAAUCCCGUGGAACAAGCAUUCCACAUGAAGAUGAUAUUCCACGAUUCGAUCGAGGAACAAGAAAUCAUGCUUCACUUCCUCCUCCUCCUCCAAUUAUUCUCCCUAACCCACAAGUUCAAAGGCUUGAAAAGUUCAAGAUCACUCAAGCCCUUUUGGCAAGUAAACAUAAAGAAGGAAAGUCGGUGUGUGCACACGUCCUAGGGAUGAAGUCACACAUUGAUAGGUUAAGAAUGUUGGGAUCCGUUGUCUGUGAGGAAAUGGCUGUUGAUUGGGUUCUUCAGUCACUUCCUAACUCAUAUAGUGAGUUCGUAAGAGAGUACUAUAUGAUGAACCGCGACGUGACCCUUAUAGAUCUCACCUAUAUGCUUAUUGCUGCUGAAUCAGCAAUGGUUUGGCGCAAUAGAAAAGCAAAGUUGAUUGGUGAAUCUGCCUUCAAGACCUCUAUGGAUAUAGACAAUGGCAACGAAAGACAUGCUAUGAUCGAAAAGUUUGAUCAUAAGAGAAAGGCAAUGUCUGAAGUAGUUCCAUGUCAUGUUCCAAAAGAGUCAAUUUGCUUUUAUUGCCAAGAGAAAGGGCAUUGGAGACGAAGCUGCCCCAUUUACCUAAGAGAUCUAAGAGAUGGGAGAGUCGAAACGUAUGGCUCUAAUAUAGGUAAAAUCCAUUAACUAACUCUUUUAAGCUUCUAUUCUAGAUUCUUAAUACAUAAUGUGAUAAGAUUACAAUUGAUGUUUUGUAGGAUCGAAGAAAAGAAAGGAAGCUUAAGGGAAGAAGUGAGCAGAAUCUAACCGUGAAGGAAUGGAUUUCGAUCGCAUUUCUCGAAGAUUAGAUUCUUGAGCUACUACUUAGAGUUAGAAUUAGAUUGCUAAGAAAGAUGUAUUAGCAUAGUUUUUCAAUGAAUUGCAUUGUAAGGACAAAUUUUUUCCGCAAUAAAAUAAAUUUUGAUUUUAUAUUAUUUAUUUAUCCUUGCAAUGGCGUAUAUGAAAAAUUGAUGUUUGAAUGUUUCUAUUAUUAGCAAUAAUGGAUUUGGUUCUUAUUAUGUUAUUUAUGGAAAGUCGAGAGUUUACCAAAUAGGGAGAGUUUCUCAUCGCCCAAGUUUCAAUUGGACAGAAACUUGGAAUCAUGCAACUUGGUUGCACGAUGAAUGAGAAAUUUCAUAUUUGGAAAUUAGACUAAUUCAUUGACAAAGUGUCAAGUGAAGGACUAGGAGAUCGAGUACACAAAGUUGCGUGUUGAUCAAGUCCACCAUAAGAGUAACAAAGAUAUUCGUCAUGAUUUACUAAAGGUUUAGUAAAUAUGAUUAUACUUACAAGAUUAAGUGUAAUUCUGAAUUGAUUGAAAAAGUUUAAAUCAAUAGCAGAACGAAUAAGAAGAAUCAAGUAGGCAGAAAGAUAAAAGUUUCUCCAUUCUAAGAAGAAGGGAGAGUACCUUUUAUGCUUUAUGAUAGGUCUUAAUGAUUAAGAACCAUAUCUCAAUUGAUCCUCUAAGUGAGUCUUAGUACAAUUGUAUGUCUAAGAAGAGGAAUCAAGAAUUGAAGAAAUGGUUAAAUCAAGAAGUCAAUCAUACUUCGUUCCAAAACAAGUCUUAGAGUUAAGAUUGUGACAUUGAGUGAAAAGUAUUAAGAAGGUUUAUAACAUUCAUCAAAUGUGGAAAGUUGUGAUGUCUUGGAUAAGACAAAGACCAACUAGGACCAAUUUAUGAAGAGUUUUGAUAAAAGCUACACUAACUCUUGAAUAUUUGUUUGUCAAGAAAUGUUUAUUGACAAGAGAAUCUUAUAUGUCAAGGAGUCAGUGGGAGUCUUAAUGGUCUUGAAAGGUUUCAAGAACAAAUCAAAUAAACCUUAUCGAUCAUCACUAGCACACGAGUUGAGGUUUACAACCUAUCGUGUUGACAUUAUUUUGUUUCUGUGCCAAUCCAAUCGAGUUAAUUAUGCAUGUGAGUUCUAUGAGUUCUCAUUUUGAACGCAUAAAAGGCAAAGCACCUUAAUCAAUGAAAGGUACAUUGAUAGGAAAGGGUGAGCUGCUUAACUACUUGGAAGACAUGGUGGGCAGCUGUGCUACCAUAAGGCAAGAAAUCAAGAUUAAGAAAGUUCGGUCCAUAUGAGUUUGAAUUUGUCGUAAACUUUGGUUUUAACAAAUUCACAUGGAUAGGAACACAUACACCGUUUAAAUCUAAGUGUCAUAAGAUUUCCUCCUUCAUGAAAAUGAUUGUGAGGAAAUGCUUUCACUAAGAAAGAUUUUAAGAAGAUAGUGAUUGUAAAAUUGCAUUCUCGAAUUCGAUUAUGGUUACGGUAUCCCUUUCCAUAAUUUGAAUUGUGAGGUUUGGCAAUUAGUCUUAAUUGUUUAGACACACAUAUGAACUAUCGAAGGCAAAGGUGUAUAAGUUCAAGAAGCCUUGAUAAAAGAUUAUCAAAGCACUAAGUAUUAGAAACAUGAACUUAAGAAAUUCAAUAAGUAUUGUUUUUCUGAAAGUUAAGAUGUUUAUGAAUACAUGUCGAAGCUAGUGGGAGCAUAAGUGUUAUGUUUUAUAAUAAUCAUCAUGAUAGUGGGAGCAUAAAUGUUAUGAUUGUAUGAUUAUUAAGGAAAGUAUUGCAAGUUGGCAAUAUUAAUUAUAGAAAACAAGAGUUAUACCUUGCAAAGUCGUAAGGGUUGUAAAGUUGUUUUGCUAUAAUUAAGGGAGAGAAUAUUAUGCUUCAUUUCAAAUCUAAAGGAUUAGGUUGAGAAAUGUUAAUAAAUUUAGUCAAAGGUACAUAGUGUGUUCUUAAAAUUUCGAUUAUGAUUACGGCAUUCCUCUUCACAAUUCGAAUUUUGAGAACAUAGCAAAUAAAACAUUAUGCGUCGUGUCCCAUACGCUUCGGGUAUAGGAUCGAUUGCAAAUGCUUUAAUGUUUGACCAUUCUAAAAUUUUCCAAAUGUCGAGCGCAUUUAGAGGGAAAAGGGACUAGAAUUGGUUUUGACUAAAAUAAUUAAACAACUAUCAAAGGACAAUCCAAAGUUCGACGAGGAUUGGUCGCUUGUGAGUAGUUGGAAGUAUAGUAUUGGAAAAUAUGGAAAUGUUUCCAUAUUGGAUGGACCAUAUCGACAUUAUUAUGAAUAGAUAAGAUUCUAUUAAGAAUGAGUUGUCAUAUGGAACAUAUGGAAGUGUGUCCAUAUUGGGAAUUGAAUAUUGAGAAAUCUAUGACUAGAUUAGAAACUUCUAUGCAAAAGGAUGUUCAAAGAAUGUACUUUGAGUGAGAGACAUCACGUCUAUGGAAUUGUCUUGUAACAAUCUCCGAUAGAGGACUUUGUAAUAUCAUUGGCAAUAGUCUUUGUGACUUUGGUGCAGUGACAUUACGAAAGGAUAGUUGCAUAGAAUGUUAGAAUCUAGCAUAUUCUAUAAGUAGCAAGAAUUUGAUAUUCUUUCACUUAUGAAAAAGGGAUUUGGAGUUGUGAAAUGAGAAGGAUUGGAAAUGUGUUCAAUGUGAUCUAUUUCACAAAGUAAGAACCAUAGGUAAACAUUGUGUGCAUGCUAGGAGCAUGGGACAAGUGUUGGAAUUCAAGUAAGAAGUUGAUUACCCGAAACGACAAAUAAUGAGUAAUCAAUAUGGUGAUAAAUAAAAGGUGUUUUAUUUAUACUCAAAGGUUUGAGGCCAUAUGGGAUUAGUAUUAUUCUUGUGUUUCACAUUUGCAUGUUUUGACUUCCAGAAUAAUUGAGUUUAUUAAGAAUAAUCGAAUUAUUCAAACGGGCCACAGUCGUUCAUAUGUUGGAAGUAGAUAUGAAUGAAGACUGUCGUGAAUUGGUGUGUGGAUUGUCUAAAAGAGUAUUAGACAUAAGCAAAUGUUUGCUGCAACGUUCAUGAGUGCUUAUGAAUAUGAUUUGAGCAUUGGAUUAAACCCACGCUCACUUGGAUCACUCCAUGAAUUGUAUCACGAGUGAUUGGUGAGACGAUAACAUCUUAUAUUCUUGAAACCGAGAUGUGUGAGUUGUAUCUUGCAAAUCGGUUGCACAUUGAUAAUAUGUAAACGCACUAGUAACUUGGUGUUAUAAAACAUAUUGUUGUGUGUGAUUCGGUGAGUGAGUGCAAGCAAGCAUUGUAUCAAAGUUUAUCCGUUCCUUUUAUCCAAAGUAGGAUAAAAGCGAUAUCUUUGGGCCCCUCGAUGAUUUAGUGAUGACAAACGUAAAUGCUCGGCCGGGCUAGGGCUAAUUUGAUUUGUUCAAUUAGUCAGUCGUCAUAAAUCGGAAAUCGAGAUAUAGUACAAAGAGAAUGAUUUGAAAUCAUAUCUCAUAUGAUAUCUAGAAUGGAGGAAUAUAUGAUCCCUUAUCUAAGGACACGCGUAUCUGAUAGGAUCAGAGUUGACAGCGGCUUUGGAAAGCUACGAUUGCAGAUCAGGAUCUGAAGUCAUACGCAUAAUAGUUAUUAGACUUAUCCAAGUGGGAGACUGUUGGAUUAGUGUCUAAGUCCAUAACUAUUUUGGUAUGUACUUGACCCGAUGGUGCAUGGUCCUUUUGGGUUGCCUUCACCAAAGCAACUUGAUAGGAUGAAUUAUGGAGAGAAAUGAUUAAAUAUGAUUUAUUAAUAUAUUAUGGGAAUAAUAUAUUAAAGGAGAAAUCGUAUUGUUUAAUUAAUAUUAGUCAAUAAUUAAUUGGUAAUUAGUUUUGUGACUAAAAGAGAUUAAUUAAACUUAAGGGACUGGAAUUGUAAUUAUAAGAUAAUUGCAAUUUGGGCCAUGGAUUGUCUUAAAUCAAGAGGUGGACGAAUUCUUAUGGGAAGCCCAUAAGGAGAUCGUCCAAGGGCUUGAUUAAAGGAGUCUAUGGGUUGCUUAGGGCUUAAGCAACCAAAUUAGGGUUUCCUUGUUAGAUAACCCUAAUAGCCUCACUAUAUAUAGAACCCUUAAGGCUCAAAAACGUGGGGAACUUCUUUUCUAGGGUUAGAACACGUUNCAGCCUCUAUCCUUUCUCCUCUUCAUCCUCUUGCUUAUGGUGUUUAUGAACCAUUAGAGGAGUGACACUUGUGACUCUAAGCCUUCCAAAGUCAAUACAAGGAGAUUUGGGAUUGUUAUUGCUACAUAACAAUCAAGGUAACAUUAUAAACCUAUUCUAAUAUCUAAUAUGAUUACUUGUAUGCUAGAAUUAGGGUUUAUAGUCUUGGAUAACAUGUAUGUACAAUAGAGAAACCUAGAUCCAAGCAUUAGGGUUUGUAUGAGCACAUAGGAUGUUCUUAUGUCCAAAAUCCAUCAAUUUGCUCAAUCACUGGUGGUUGAUUCCUAUUUCCAUUCACAUUCCCAGCUCCACUGUGGGUUCUUUCCAUUUUGAUCUAUUCACCAAUUUAAACGUUCGGUGUGUAGCGAUGAGAAUUUAGAUAAGAAAUAUUUUAUUUAUGAUCGACUUGCAAAUCUCCUUAUCACUUCGAAAAGUUACAUGCCAGUUCUAAUACCGUAAUUAAACGUUUAGAAAUCUGAACACAUAAAGUUUCCAGAUCCGGUCAGCAACAGACCAUAGAUCCGACCAAACAUUUAGCAUCAUAACUCAUUUAGCACAUAAAAGCAUGUUAGGCAUUUUCCCUAAAUAAGCUAGUGCUUGUGUCUAUUCAGGUGUAUUAUCUAAGACACUCCUCACAAUCAUUGCUUAGCAUUCUAAGUUUAAGUCUAGAAAUAAAUCCAUAUUCCUAGUUCGCUUAAACUAAUGCUCUGAUACCAACUGUGACAUCCCCAUUUUCAUGGCCAGAAAAGACCGAUUUUGUUUAUGCUUUAUAAAAAUCAGAGUAUCUCUUUUAAGAAAAAUGUUGCGGAAUUUGUUCCCAGAAAAACAUAAUAAAUACGUUAUCAAAUCAUUUCCGAGGAAAUGUAUUUUUAUUCAUUUUAAAACAUUUAGGAUGUCAUCGUCGAUACAGAAACAUAAGAAUAAACAGAACUUACGUUCGUUAUCACUAGUGAUUUAUAUCUCCUUAAUCUCUCAGUGUAAUGUGACUUCAUAUCAACACCUGUGAUAUAAAUAAACUGAGUGGGUCAGGUUGGGAAACCUGGUGAAUACAUAGGGAUUUCAAUCCCACAAUGUUAUAUCAUAUAUAUAAUUUAGAACUCACACAAUAUACAAUUUCACCAUAUAUGUACAAGCAACUCUUAUCCCACCCCGUCGAUCCUCACAACGAGACUAUCCAUACUCUCAAACCUAAGAUUAUCCGUUUUACUUAAUCCAUACUCCUAGAUCAGAAAUGAACGACUUUACCUAAUCCAUACUCUUAGAUUAACGACGAAUGGUUAUGCCUAGUCCAUACUCUCGGACUAGGGAAGAAUGACUAAUCCAUACUCUUGGAUUAAUGACGAAUGAUUGUGCCUAAUCCAUACUCUCGGACUAGGGACGGAUGACUGAUCCAUGCUCUUGGAUUAAUGGCGAAUGACUAUACCUAAUCCAUACUCUCAGACUAGGGACGAAUGACUAUGUCUAAUCCAUGCUCACGGAUCGAUGACAUAUUCAAAAGUUCUAUUCUCUGAGUAUAACUCACUUGUACUCGUAAGAAUAUACUACCCAAUAUUCCUCAUAAUUAAUUUAGGUUUACUCUUUAUCCUAAAUCAUCAUAUAUAAUCAGGUAUGUUCUUUAACACGUAUUUCAGGCAACAUCAAUUAACCCGCACAUAAACAUAUAAUUAAUACUUUAAUCAAUACUUGAAUUAAAAUCAUGUUCAUGAAAGGGACUAUGCACUCACUUGAAAGGUGGUGACUCAGCACUCGGACAGCGCUUCGAUACUCUCAAAACAAUUUUCCUGCGAUAAAACCUAGUAUCAAUGACACUGGGGUUUAGUCUAACGAUAACCGCGACAAAUUAAUAGUCUGACUAUUAUUACUAUUAUAUAAGUGUUAAACGAUACUUAUAUAACUCAUAAUAAUAGCCCAAAUAAUUAUUUUAAGAUCCUAAUAAUGUUACUAUAAUUAAUUAGAAGCUAUAUUAAAAAUUGCGUAAGCGUAGCUCACUUACAGCGGAUUUUAAAGAAAACCGGGCUUUGCUUGGAGCAGCGUUUCGAAACCGAAAGAGAAUUUUUCUCGGGACUCCGGGAGCCUCGGGGCUUCCUUCGGGUGUCUUCCAAGGGGACUUUGAGUUUGGAUGUUUUGGUCUUAAGCAUUAAGUCCUAAAAUGAUAAAUUGUCACCAAGGGGGUACGUUGGGCGUACAUAUGUGUACGCUCAGCGUAAUGCAUGUCUUCCCGAUUUCAUAUUGUGGAAAGUUGUACCUUAAGCAUCAAUGAGCAGUACGUAGGGUGUACGAAUGUGGUACGUGGGUUAUACUAAAAGGGUUCUCGUUUUGGGCCUUGGGUCUUUUGGAAGUUGGGCCAUGAGUUAUUGGGUCAAAUACGGGAAGCGUAAAAUGGUCUUUUACCCAUGGUAAUGAUAGAGAAUGAAUUAGACCUUGGAUUAUGGGGAAUUAUCUCAAUUUUUGACUACGAAUAAUUUGGUUGUGUUUAGCAUGAGGAAUCUGGUAGCAGCAGCGCGUAUGUUUCGGUUAUUGCGGUUUGAGGAGAGCCUCCUCCUAGUGUUUGGCGGCUCGAAGGCACCAAUGUCGACCCAUGGAUUAUUGUUAUUUGUAUACUAAUUGUCUGUAUGACUCUUACAUGUGUUGUAUGUGUUGUAUGUAUCUCGAGUGGGGCCCGAUGUGUGUAUUGGACGGGGCCCAUCGCAUGUUACUGACAGAUCUAUACUGGCGUAGGGAUAUCAACGGAACCAAAUGGGAGCGGAAAUAGUUGCCCCCGCCCCCGCCCCCGAAAUCAAUUGUUGCCCCCNNNNNNNNNNGCCCUCAGUCCCGCCCCCGUUCCACCGGCUCCCUCAGUUUAUAGGCUUAAAAUUCGAUUUUUUUUGCUAAAAAACUACUUUGUUUUAGGCUAAAGAAAACUAUUUUUAAUAACUUUAAAAGCUUAAAACCUAAUCUUUUAGAAACUAAAAAAUAAAAAAUCCAACAUUAAAAUAGGACAAUUCCAACAAUCUUACAAAUAUAAAAUACGACAAAUCCAACAUUACAAAUAUAAAAUACUUACAUGUCCAAAAAUAUAUGAUCAAUUCGCUACAUCUUCAACAUCCAUUAAUUGGAAACGGGAAAAUGAAACUUACACUAAACCUAAAAUUAGAACAUCUCUUCUGUAUAUGUAUUUUAUAUUAAAUAUAUACUUUUUACAUAAAUAUACAACCGGGGCCCGCGUGGGAGUACGAGACGGAAAUACCGACUCCCGACCCCGGUCCCGAAAAUAAACGGGGUUUAAUUCUGCCCCCGCCCCCGCUCCUGCUCUCGAUUUUUUUUUAAAAUUUAGUCUUGUACGGUAUCGGGGUUCCACAGGGGUUUUUGACAUCCCUAUACCAGGGGGCCCGAUGAAUAUCGGGCGAGGCCCAAUGCUGGGAAGGACCUGAUGGAUGUAUGUAUGUAUGGUAUGUGGUAUUUUGGGGAACUCAUUAUAUUUUGUGCGUACAAUUUAUGAUUAUGGUUUCAGGUACUUUUGGUUCGAAAGGGAAAGAUCCGCUUGAUCGCAGCGUAUCCACCUAUGUUUCCGCAUUUUAUGAUUUUGGGAUUGUACUCUGAUAACUAUUUAUACUUUGAUAUGCUUUUGAAUAGUUGAAAAGGAUAAAUGGUGUUUAAGGUUGAAUUAAAAAUGAAAUUUUAUACCUUAUAAUUUUUAUGAUUUUACAUUGAAGGUUACAAAUCCAUAUUUGUACAAAAGGCUACAAUCAUGUGUAUGGAAUUGAUUAUGUUGAUUGUUUUUCUUCGGUAGCAAAGGUUGUCACAAUAAGGAUUUUACUUGCUAUAUCUACAUCAAAAGGUUGGUUUUUACACCAACUAGACAUCAAUAAUGCAUUUCUGAAUGGUUUUCUUGAAGAAGAGGUGUACUUACUUCCUCCACAAGGUUAUGACAAGGAAAAAAAAGGAAGAAGUAUGCAAAUUAAAAAAAUCACUAUAUGGAUUAGAGCAAGCUAGUAUACAAUGACAAAUUGAAUUUUAAAACAAAUUAUUGAAUUUUGGAUCUCAACAAUCUCCACAUAAUUAUUGCUUGUUUACAAAAGGAGAAGAAAAGGUUUUUGUAUCUCAUGUAGUGUAUGACGAUGAUGUCUUAAACACAGGCCCUAAUGAAGCAUUUAUUACUAAAUUCAAAAAUUAUCUAAAUCAGACCUUUACUAUCAAAGAUCAUGGAGAUGCAAGUUAUUUUAUUGGCAUUGAAUUACUGAAAACUAAGAAAGGUUUUUAUGUUAAUCAAAGGAAAUAUGUUUUAGACAUAUGGUCAGAAGCAGGGUUAACCGACAUUUAAUCCAGUCAUUAAGAACAUGUAACUAUGUUCAGCAGGAGGGAAAAUACUAUAAAAACUAGAGAAUUAUAGAAAAGUAGUUGGAAAGCUUCUUUAUCUUAUUUUACAAGGCCUAAUAUAAGCUAUGAUGUGCAACAAUUUAGCCAAUAUUUGCAUACUCGAACUCAAACACAUUGGAAGGCUGCAAUACAAGUGUUGAAGAAGUUAAAAGAUUGUCCAUCAAAAGGUUUAUUCUUUGAGAAAAAAAUCAUAAAAUUUAGAAAUCACAGCCUAUAGUGAUUAUGAUUUGGGCUACUUGUAAAGACACUAGAAGAUCAUUGACUCGAUAUUGUAUAUUCAUCAGAUCAUCAUUAAUAUCAUGGAGGAAUAUUAAAAAUACGUUUCAUGCCGUUCAAUAUGGGUCGAAAUUAAUACAUAGAAUUCUUGGCCAAAAGACUUUUCAAUGAGUAUUAAUUAACUUGAAGAAUAAGACCACUUAAAGACUCAUCUUGUGGAAAAUUCUUGUUACUUAUUUGUCAGGUAAGGUUACAUUGUCUUAUUAACUAAAAUAAGUUUUAAUUAUUAUAGAUCUAAAUGUAAAAUAGUUACAAUAUAUAUUUAUCAUUCUAUCAAAUUAUCCAAUAAACUUUGACAUAGAAAAAACUUUUAUCAAAUUAUGUAACAAGCUGCAUAAACUUGAUAAAGAAAUGGUAAAAGUAUUAUAGUUUGUUAUUGUUAAGAAAAUAUAACCCAAAAAUUGUACGAAAUAACAAAACCUUAAAAUUGUUGAUAGGGGAUUGUGUUUAACACAGUUUUCUUAAAACAAAUUCGCCUUAUUGUUUUCCAAGAUACAACAGCAAAAAACAAUUCUUCUAGAUUGUUCGGACCCUCGCUUGGCAUGGAUUAUAAGUGUAAGAGAGGAAGAGUGAGUAUUUCGUUUCAUUCGGUGUAUCUAAUCGGUCAUAAAACGAAACCGUAAUUGUCACAAUUAAUCAAGAAAUUAAAACUGAAAUUUAUGAUUAAUAGCUCUUAAUUCGUUUUUGUAAUUGUUAACCCGCAGGACACGUACAUAAAAGUUCAACAGAGGAGAACAAGAAUAUAUAAUCAAUAGGUCGGUUUGAUUUUAUUUAGAAUCCAAAAUUUGUGCUCAAAAAUGGAAAAAAAAUCCAUUUUUGAAAAUUAAUAAAAUUAAUUUUCCAACUGCUAUAUUAUAUAAAAAAAAAAUAUAUACAGAUUACAUUAACCAAUAAAUUAUGAAAAUAUUUGGCAUUUGUUAACAAUCAACUCACUAUUUUACCAUGAAAUUAUCACUUUGACCUUUAGACAUCGUGUUUUAACCAUGAUCUACAUUCCACCCAUUUGUCUUAUUUUCCAAAGUGCCUUGUGGAUUUUGUCCAUUAUAUAUAUGGUUGGAUAUCAACUAAAGAUAUCAAAACCGAAGCCAUGACAACAAUGCUCACAGUACUACUCGGCUUACUUUUAAGUCGUCUCGUAUCCAUAGGUUUUUAUCUUUCUUUUCGUUACAUUCACUGAUAUGAUUUACAUUUUUCAUAUAUGUUUUAUAUAGUAUGGUAUGUUAUUUGUAUCGUUUCCGAAUAAAUGUUAUUCUAAUUUUUUAUGACGUUCAAAAUAUCCACAUGAUAUUCAAAUUUUAGAUAGAAUUUCCAAAAGUAAUUGCUCCGAUUUUGUAUAUUGGAUAUUUAGAGUAUUCGAACAUUCUUUUUCGUUAACGACAUGGAUCACCCGAAUAUAUAUGGUAUCCGAAAUGAGUCAAUCAAAAAUAGUGUUUAAUUCUCGAAUUAUUUUGUACACUAUGACAAUUCGAUGGUAGUUGAAUAUUCUAAUAUGUGUUUUAAAAGUUUAAUUUUGAAAUUUGUUAAUAAUUUUUUUUAUUUUGCGGAACUUCAGAUAAAUGAAUUUGAUACUAAAAGUAUACAUAUUUCUAAUGUGGAUAUUUUUAUUUGUAUGCAUUCAUAGUGUCAAAUAAAUAAGUUCGUGCAAAUUGUUAAUCUAGUUGUCUAAAACCAGUAUGCAAUUUAAUUGUAUACACGACAAAAUAUUAUAAAUUUCAGUAUUUAAUAUUCACAUCUAAAGUUCUAAAUAUCCAAUUUUGAAUAGGAAUACGUGUCUAUAUCUGAAUACAAACGUACCCAUAAUAACUUGUGUUGUGUGUGUUACGAGAAAGAAGAACCAUAUUCUAAUGAUUUUAUUUUUACAGAUGCGCAAGUCGGCGUGUGUUACGGUAGAGAUGGUGACGGUUUGCCGUCACAACAAGACGUUGUAAACCUCUACCGGCGCAACGGCAUAACCAGAAUGCGAAUUUAUGAUCCAGAUCAAGCUACUCUUCGAGCCCUAAAAGGAACCAAUAUCGAACUCAUCAUCGGCGUUCCUAAUGAUGCUCUGCAAUCCCUCAACGAUCAAGGCGCUGCAAACACAUGGGUAAGAAACAACAUCCAAAAUUACCCCGAUGUCAGGUUCAGAUACAUCGCCGUCGGAAACGAAGUCGAUCCAAACAACGGGAAUAGUCGAUACGUUAAUUUCGUGCUUCCGGCGAUGCGAAAUGUUCAGAACGCCAUUAACGCCGCCGGCCUGCGGAACCAGAUUAAGGUGUCGACGGCAACCUACACUGGUCUGUUAGGCGUCUCGUAUCCACCAAGCAAUGGCGCCUUUCGUAACAAUGUACGGGGGUUUAUCGAGCCGAUAAUCAGAUUUCUAGCCGGAAACAACUCGCCAAUGCUUGCCAACAUCUACCCCUACUUUGCCAACCCUAAUUCCAAUCUCCCUUAUGCGUUGUUUUCGGCGGCGGGAACAGUUGUGACUGAUCCAAAUAAUGGUCUACAAUACUCUAACAUUUUUGACGCCAUGUUAGAUGCUCACUAUGCAGCUCAAGCGCGUCUUGGUGGGGGGAAUGUGCAGAUUGUUGUGUCGGAGAGUGGUUGGCCGUCGGCAGGCGGCAAUGCGGCGACAGUAGGGAACGCUGGAACUUACUAUAGGAACUUGAUUAGGCAUGUCAGAGGAACAACGGGAACACCGGCGAAGCCUGGAAGGUCUAUAGAGACGUAUCUUUUUGCAAUGUUCGAUGAAAACAGGAAACCUGGUGAAGAGUCGGAAAAACAUUUUGGGAUUUUCUCCCCUGAUCAGCGACCUAAAUAUCAAUUGAGCUUCAGUUAAGGAAAACUAAAAACGCCAUUUCUGAAGCUAUGAAGAAUAUUACAUACAUAAAAUAAAGUGGUUUUCCACUGCUUAAUAAAGUGAUGAUGAAGUCAAGAUGGUUGGUUAUCUUUGAUAUCAUCUUUAAUAAAUAAAGGUUUUUUUUUGCCACAUGUCAUCUUCUCCUUCAUUUUGACACUUCUCAUUUUGUUGAAAAUUUUUGAAAUUUUAUUUUCUACUUGUCAUUUUUUAGGGAUUUUUAUUUUCUUAAAAACAAAAUUCCAUAAAAUUGUAAUGAGUUCUAUAAGGAAAUAAAAUCAUCUUAUUAAUUUGGUAAUAAAUUAUCAUAAAUAAUUCAAACAAUUUAGUUUCUUUUGCAGAUUUAUUACAUUAUGUUAUGUAAAGUAUUACAUUAUAAAAUAUUUCAUAUUUAUAUAUUUAUAUUAAAAUUAAUUUAUAAUAAACCCGUGUAAUACACAAGNNNNNNNNNNNNNNNNNNNNNNNNNNNNNNNNNNNNNNNNNNNNNNNNNNNNNNNNNNNNNNNNNNNNNNNNNNNNNNNNNNNNNNNNNNNNNNNNNNNNNNNNNNNNNNNNNNNNNNNNNNNNNNNNNNNNNNNNNNNNNNNNNNNNNNNNNNNNNNNNNNNNNNNNNNNNNNNNNNNNNNNNNNNNNNNNNNNNNNNNNNNNNNNNNNNNNNNNNNNNNNNNNNNNNNNNNNNNNNNNNNNNNNNNNNNNNNNNNNNNNNNNNNNNNNNNNNNNNNNNNNNNNNNNNNNNNNNNNNNNNNNNNNNNNNNNNNNNNNNNNNNNNNNNNNNNNNNNNNNNNNNNNNNNNNNNNNNNNNNNNNNNNNNNNNNNNNNNNNNNNNNNNNNNNNNNNNNNNNNNNNNNNNNNNNNNNNNNNNNNNNNNNNNNNNNNNNNNNNNNNNNNUUUUUAACUUUUAACAUAUUAUACUUAAUUUAUUAGUUUUAAUAUAUUGUUGGAUGUAAACCAUUAUCAUUUUAAAGGUAUAAUUUUUGAACAAUUUGUAUAAAAUACUUAAAUUAUUAAUUAAAAUAUAACAUUAUAGGCUCAACUUAAAUAUAAAUUUUAUUUAACUUAAACAACCCAAAGAUUAUUUUAUAAAUAGUUAAAAGUGAUAAAUUGUAGUGUCUUUCUAAUAAUGAUUGUAAGUUGGUUAAUAAGGCUAAAUAAAUAUCAAACCUAAAGUGUAAUCAUAAAUAGACUAAAUUUCCAUUUUAAAAUAAUAUAUUUACUUCUAUUUACAAAGUUAUGUUUUUAAAUUUUAACAUAUUAUAAUUAAUUUGUUAGAUUUAAAAUGUUAUUGCAUGUAAACCAUUAUCAGUUUAAAGCUAUAAUUUUUGAACAGUUUGAACAAAAUACUUAAAUUGUUCAUUUAAAUAUAACAUUACAGUGUCAACUUAAAUAUAAAUUUCAGUUCCAUUAAAAAAAACCAAAUAAUAUUUUGUAAAUAGUUAAAAGUGAUAAAUUAUAGUGAUAAAUGCAAAAACUAAAUUAUAAUAUCAGUUUAACUAAAAUAUUUUCUAAAUAUAUUUAUAUAAUCGUUAAAAAUUUUCAAAUAAGUAGCUUAAAAUAACUUAUAAUAAAAAUAAAAAUAACUCUAUAUAAAUGAUUAUAUUGUUACCUUUAAAAUCAAAAAAUAAUGUUUGAUGUUUUAAAUAAUUAUAAUGAUAUAAAUUAAAAGAUUAAGCAAAUAAAUUUUAAAAAAUUAGUUAAAAAUAACAACGAUAAAUAAUAUUAAACCAUAUAUAAUAUUUAAUUUUAUUGAUGUGUAGUUAGUAGAAAUCAUUCAAACGAUUGAGAUUAUGACGUUAUAAUAGAUUUAUAUAUUAUCAUAUAAUUCAAAAUAAUCAAUAUAUUAUAUCAAAUUAAUAUUCGAAUUAUUAUAUCAAAUUUAACAACAACGUUAGUGUUAUAUUUUAAAAAAUAUAUAUUUGUAAAGACUUCAACUAUAUAGGUGUUUCUGCGCAUUACAAUGUCAACUCAAAUAUAAAUUUCAGUUCCAUUUAAAAAAANNNNNNNNNNNNNNNNNNNNNNNNNNNNNNNNNNNNNNNNNNNNNNNNNNNNNNNNNNNNNNNNNNNNNNNNNNNNNNNNNNNNNNNNNNNNNNNNNNNNNNNNNNNNNNNNNNNNNNNNNNNNNNNNNNNNNNNNNNNNNNNNNNNNNNNNNNNNNNNNNNNNNNNNNNNNNNNNNNNNNNNNNNNNNNNNNNNNNNNNNNNNNNNNNNNNNNNNNNNNNNNNNNNNNNNNNNNNNNNNNNNNNNNNNNNNNNNNNNNNNNNNNNNNNNNNNNNNNNNNNNNNNNNNNNNNNNNNNNNNNNNNNNNNNNNNNNNNNNNNNNNNNNNNNNNNNNNNNNNNNNNNNNNNNNNNNNNNNNNNNNNNNNNNNNNNNNNNNNNNNNNNNNNNNNNNNNNNNNNNNNNNNNNNNNNNNNNNNNNNNNNNNNNNNNNNNNNNNNNNNNNNNNNNNNNNNNNNNNNNNNNNNNNNNNNNNNNNNNNNNNNNNNNNNNNNNNNNNNNNNNNNNNNNNNNNNNNNNNNNNNNNNNNNNNNNNNNNNNNNNNNNNNNNNNNNNNNNNNNNNNNNNNNNNNNNNNNNNNNNNNNNNNNNNNNNNNNNNNNNNNNNNNNNNNNNNNNNNNNNNNNNNNNNNNNNNNNNNNNNNNNNNNNNNNNNNNNNNNNNNNNNNNNNNNNNNNNNNNNNNNNNNNNNNNNNNNNNNNNNNNNNNNNNNNNNNNNNNNNNNNNNNNNNNNNNNNNNNNNNNNNNNNNNNNNNNNNNNNNNNNNNNNNNNNNNNNNNNNNNNNNNNNNNNNNNNNNNNNNNNNNNNNNNNNNNNNNNNNNNNNNNNNNNNNNNNNNNNNNNNNNNNNNNNNNNNNNNNNNNNNNNNNNNNNNNNNNNNNNNNNNNNNNNNNNNNNNNNNNNNNNNNNNNNNNNNNNNNNNNNNNNNNNNNNNNNNNNNNNNNNNNNNNNNNNNNNNNNNNNNNNNNNNNNNNNNNNNNNNNNNNNNNNNNNNNNNNNNNNNNNNNNNNNNNNNNNNNNNNNNNNNNNNNNNNNNNNNNNNNNNNNNNNNNNNNNNNNNNNNNNNNNNNNNNNNAUAUAUAUAUAACUGAAACCCUAAACCCUCUCAUUUACCUUGUAACCAAAUUGGCAAACGAAAACGGUUUGUCUAACCGCCUAUUGCGACAUCCCCGUUUAUUUUGCAGGAUUAUAGGAAAGGAUGAUAUCUUUGACGAUUGUGGGGCAUAAAUUUUUUCAUAUUGAGUCACAUCCUGCUCUUAGCCAUCCUAAUCAAAGACCUCGAGAUUUGAAAUUGGAUCAUCUACAAGGAGGUGUUUACCAAGCAUGUAUGAAGCAUAUUUAUGAUUUUUCAUAUCUUUUAUUGAGUAGGCAAGCAUGUAUCAACAACAUCUUAGCAAAAUAUAUUGACUUAAUACAUGGUCUUUUCAAAACAUGUAACUUUUUAUGUGGAGUUGGGUUAACUCGUACACUUAUCAAAUACUUUCAUACUUCAUGGUGCUAUUGAUUAUGGCCUCACCAUACAUGUCGAAAUUUCCUCGUUUGUGUUGCUGGAUUAUGGGAAAGGAGGUUGUCUUUGACGAUUGUUGGGCAGAAGCUUGUCAUAUUGUUGUGUAUCAUUCUCGUAGCCAUCCUGAUUGAAGGCCUUAAGAUUUGAAAUUGGGUCCUCUGUAGGGAGGUUGCAUGAAGCAUAUUUAUCAAUUUUCAUAUUUUUAUCGAUAGGACAAGCAUGCAUUGACAAAAUAUUAGCAAAAUAUAUUGUUUUAAUACAUCGUCUCUUCAAAACGGGUAAUUUUUAAUGUUUAAAUGGUUACUUUUACACUUAUCAGAAACUCUACUACUUCGUGUUACUAUCGAUUAUGGUCUUACUAUACAUAAGUCGAAUCUUCCCGAUUGAUUUCCGACGCCAGUGCAGAUUGGGUUGGAUGCCGCAACACCGAGUGAUCCAUUUCCGGCUAUUGUUUUUUCCUUGGAGAAAAUUUGAUCUUAUAUAUGGCCCUCCAAAUGUGAAACCACAAUAUCAAAUGUUGAAGUAGAAUAUCGUGGGUUCACAAACGUUGUAUCGGAAACAUCUUGGAUUUUCAUCUCUUUCUUGGAUUAUUACAUAUGGUUACUAUAGCCACUAAUAUAUCGUGAUAAUGUAAAUGUCAUCUACCUCUUCGACAACCAGUUUAACAUCAACGCACUAAACAAGAUAUUGAUAGACAUUUUGUCGAGAAUAAGUGGCCAAAGGAGGUGUUCGUGUUAUGCAUGUCCCAUCACGCUACCAGAUUGCUGACAUUUUUACGAAUGAGCUAAAAAAUUAUUUGGAUAUUUUUAGUAAUAAUUUGAGCAAUCUUCCUCUUAUCCCUAAGACUAACAGAAUGUAUUAUUAAAAAUAUUAGUUUGAUAGAUAGUUUCCAUGAUUAUGUAUUUGAGAGAGUAUAUGUUUCCUCCAUUUACUUUAUAUAUUGAAUAUUCACUUAUGAAAGAGGACAAGAAAUUAUAUAAGGUCCUCUGGUAUACCCAAGACGAAAGCCUCUAUGGUCUAGCGGGCCACAAACCACGAUCAUGCACACCAUCCUGGUGCCUCGUGGUCGUGGUGGUUCGUGUUAGGGAGGACGAAGGAGAACGAACAAUCAGAUCUCUCUUCUCCUUUCUUAUUCUCUCUUCCUUUCUUCUUCUGACCACAAGUAAGUCAAUGUUGAGCACCAUUCCGGCUAUGUUGAGGAAGAUUAUGAUGGUGACGUGGAGGUGGAAGGAGUUUGUGGUCGUGAAGAUCAUAACGGACGGUCUAACCAAACAGUGAACAAUAAAUAAUUAAACAUAUUUGGGUUGUGAUCAAAAUUCAAAACAUAUUAUAAAUUUACGAUAUUAACAUCACUUUUUGUGUUUGAAGUUUGACCAUAUCAUACCAUAUUUUUUUAGUUUUAAAACUUAUGAUGUGUAAAUGCUUGAGAUGGAGGCUGAUGAGGGAAAAUGACUUGAGAAGCUAAUGAUGCUUAAAUAAUGCUUAAACCCUAAAAAUUAGGGUUUGCAUUUUUGCCACAUACGCCCAACAUACAAAAGAGUACGCCCAACGUACGUACAAAGUCAUAUGUCCCUUAUAAGGGGCCUUGGGACCAAAUUGCAAGAAAAUUCCACUUUGGGUCAAAAAUGUAAAUUUAUCUGAAUAAUGAAUGUUACACACUAACCCUGUAGCCGCCUUGCGUAUGCUAAUCAUACAUAACACUGGAUUUGAUAGACAAACGAAUAAUUGAUUCUACCAUAAGCCUACAGCCAAACAAGGAACAUGAAAUAAGGCUAAAUAAAACAUUCUCAUGCUAUAAAAUGUUAGUUAUGUACAACUAUGAUGUACACACUAAGCAACCAGAAUUCUAAAUGUAACGCCCUCAGAUUGGGGCUAGGCAAAUUAGAGACAAUAAGCGUCAAUAAUGACUUUUUGAUAGAAGAUUAUUUGGAAUAAAUAAUCUUAACAAAGUUAUAGUAUAUGUCACAAGGGUUCCUUACAUAUAAAGAACGAUGAAAUCCGAGUUAUAACCAAGAAGUUAUGACCCGUCGAAGUUUUACGGCAAAACCAUCACGACACCGGAAAUCGUAAAAAGUGAGUUUGCGAUAAAAUACUUUUUAGCCUUAACGAUUUAAACAAAAGUCAUAGUAUAUGUUAAACUGAGAACGUGCAUCUAAAGAAGGUCCAAAUCUGACUUCGUAUGAGGAAGUUAUGAUUUUUCUAAGAAAAUACCAUAUGGAAGCUGGAUGCCCUUUAUGGGAAAACGAAGUGAGAAUUUAGGAGCACUUGUGUCGCUCAGGAUGGAUGUUAGCUGAUUGUUGGCAAGCAUUGAAUCAAUUGCUAGUGCUAGUAGGGCAAGAGCAGUAGUGAACCAUCACUCUAGAGUGUGAGUGAUAAAUUGACUGCAUGGGUUUGUUCAGAUGUUGGGUUGGCGAUAGGAUUUAAAUGGACUUGGUUAGAGAUUUUUUAAGUGCAUCGUUUCCUUUCGGAAAGUGGUUAGUUGGAUUGGUGAUCCGUCCGUUCCGGUUGAGGAUUAUAAAUCUUGGUUAACAAUUGAAAUGGGUCAGGGAUUUGGAAUUGUAUCAUGGGAAGUGCCUUGGGUUGCGAAGCGUUUAACUUGGUUUAAUCGUGGGUAUAAGAUUGGUAAUUGUCAAGUUCAUUGUAACACCCGUUCCGGGUAUGAAAAGUGUAGAUGUCAUUUUGGGUGGCCAUAACGUGGUAGAGCCUGACCACGACAUGGUAAUAACUUAUGGGUCGUGGAGAUUUAAUGAACCACCACGACGUGGAAAUAGGUGCCACGACAUGGUGGCCGCUGUUGGAGAAAACCCUAAAGUUUAAGGGUUUGAUCCCUAUUUAAAUGACCUUAACUUCUUGUAGCCUCUCUCCCAUCAUCCUACAUCCCUCAUAAUCGUCCCUUGCAAACCCUAGACCUCUUAUGUAUGAUUUUAGCCUAAAGUGUGUGUUUUUUGUGCUUGUGAAGAAAGAAGGUAAUAGUAUAUCAUCUUGGAGUCCAAAGCAAUGUAGAUCCAAAAGUUUGUCUUCUUCAAACAUCUCUAGGAUGUAUAAUGUGACAUCCUCAUUUUCACGGACAGAAAAGACCGGUUUUUGUUUAUGCUUUAUAAAAAUCAAAGUACUUCUUUUCAUAAAAAUGUUGCGGAAUUUGUUCCCAGAAAAACAUGAUAAAUACGUUAUUAAAACAUUUUCGAAGGAAUGUAUUUUAUUUCAAAACGUUUGGGAUGUCAUUGUUAAUACAGAAACAUAAGCAUAAACAGAACUUACAAUUAUUUACACUAGUGAUCUACAUCUCUUUAAAUCUCUCAGUGUAAUGUCACUUCAUAUCGCACUACAAGAAAAAAGUCCUUUUACGACGCUCAUUGCGCGUCGUAAAAGGCUUAGACGACGCGCAAAUGCGUGUUAAGGAAGGCCCUGUCAUAAAGAGAGACGACGCGCUUUUGCGCGUCGUCUAUAGACGACGCGCAUUUACGACGCUCAUUUACGACGCGCAAUUACGACGCGCAUUUACGACACGCAAUGCGUAUCAAGGAAGGCCCUGUCAUAAAGGAAGAUGACACGCAUUCGCGUGUCGUAACCUUACGACGCGCGUGUUAAUGACACGCAAUGCGUAUCAAGAAAGCCCCUGUCAAGAAAGGCCAUGUCAUAAAUGAAGAUGACACACAUUUUUGCGUAUCGUAAAUUUAAAUGUUUAAAAAAAAUAAAUUUAUAUAUUUAUUAAUUUUUAAAUUAAAUUUGCAUUUAAUUUCUCAUAAUAGAAAUAAAAUACCAUAUACAAAAAAUACAAUCCAUUGCAUAAUAUAAAAUAAAAUUUCAUACUCAAAAAAUAAAAUAAAUUACACAAAUUGUAAUGUCAUACAAAGAAUCAUUCAAAUGUUAAACAAAAAUAAUACAUUGCUAACAUGGGUUAUACAUUUCUAUAAAACUAACAAAUAAUCAUACAACUCUGUUUCUUACUGGAAAGGAAUGUCAAACAUGAUUACAAGUCUCCCUUAAUCUUGAUUACUCACCUGCUUAAGUAGAAUGUUGUUGUUGAGAAGGUUACCUAGCAACAGAGAAAAACACAACACCUCUCCCACAAUCACAACAUCAUUUACAGAGAAAGGGUUGUCAAUUACUUUCAUUAAGACUUUCAUUCAAUCACAAAAAUAUUAAAUAAAAGGGUGAAACAAUAACUUACUUUUGAUAAGUUGAUCUCCCUUAGAGCAAACACAGCUAAAACAUUGAACAAGACCCUAUUUCCCUCUUCUUUUAAAGUUUCCAGAAUGUUUAGAAUGCUCUCCUUACUCAUAAUAUAUAAUCAAUAAUCAGAUUGAAUUAUAUAUUAUGAGUAAGUAAUAAAGUACAUGUAACACAAUAAAGUAUUAUUAAGGAACUUAUGAGUUCAAAUAUUAUUUUUUACACUCAGAUGCCAAAAUAUUUUAUGUUAUUCUUCUACAAGUUGAGAACCAACUCAAACAUGAAAGAUAAUAGUCCAUCUGGCAGCUUUUGAUGACAUGGCAAAUGAAAUUUCUCAGAGAUAGAAUAAUACCUGUACUAUUAAAAUGAUGGCAACCACAACAGGUGGUCCAAUAACUACAGCCAAAAACAUGCCUUUAAUCAUGUCUGGAAAGAAAAGAAAGAUUGUUUGCUGCAAUCAUAAAUCCCAUGUGUUACAAACUUAUAUCCAAAUUUAAAUUAAAUAAAAAGAGAAAACUGUAAAAACAAAUUAUAUCCAAGGUAAUACACCAUACAACAAAAUAGCAAAGUCCAUCAGUAUUGUUACAAACCCAUGAAGGAAGUGGAAGUUACUGGAAAAAAAAACAUAUGAUUUGAGGCCUAUUCUCCAUUCUUCCUAAUAAGAUAAAUUGAGAAGCAUUUUUCAAAAAAACACCGUUUUCUUAAUUAUUAGAACACAUUAGGAAAGCUUUAUACUCUUUGAUUUAAGAAGCUAAGUAAACUAUAAGAAAUCCACAACAAAAAGAAACUAUAAGAAAUCCACAACAAAAAGAUUUGAAACUUACCUGUCCAGUAAGAAGAGGGGUAUCAGCAACAAGCUUGAAAGCAACAGGCCUUGGAGUACGCACAGGCCAAGCCUGCAAAUAAAAGGUGCAUCAAGUAUAAAAGAGAACAGGGAAACUGAUAUUAAAAACAAGAACUUUGAUCAUUAGAAUAAAAGAGAGAGAGAAAAAUAGAGAGGGAAGAAAUGGAAGGAAUGACUCAUUCCAUUCCAUUCCAUUCUAUAUUCCAACCUUUACCUUGUUUUCUUAUCAUUAUCAGUUGUAUCUGCACCUCUUUCAUUUCCUGCAAGAUUUAUAAACGAAGAAUGGCAUGUGAUCGUGAAGAUUCCUCAUUUGCAUCUGUUGUCCCUGUGAUUGUAAAUUAGUAAAAGCAUAAUAUAAAAAACUGAAGUAGAGAAGUGACUUGUGUACUUGAUAAUAUAUUUCUCAUUUAGGCAAAACGGCUUGAAACAACCUGUUCUUCAAUAGGAGUAACUUGACCAAUGCAACGUUUUUUCCCAGAUCCUGAAACCCAAGAACUGCUACCAAGCACACGUGCCUCCAUGUCCAGUACUGCAUCCAUUUUCUCCUUCCAACCAAAUUCAUCCUUUACUCUACCAUAAAUUUCUAAAGUGUCUAUUCUUGGUAAAGUUGAUCUGUUGAAAGUUGUUCCUAUGGAGAUUGUAAUUUCUUCAUCAGCUAGAAGGGAUUCUGCAACUGUAAAUGGGAUGUCAUACCAUGACCUCAUGCCUUCGUCUAGUUUUAUAACUCUUUGGAAAAUUGUUAUCUCAGAGGGUAUAUGGUUUGCUAAUGUGUUCCCCACAUGGACACGAAAUCCAACCAUUACUAUGUUUGGAUUCGAAUUGGAAACUGUUACCUGGAAUGGGAAAACACAAGGUAUCAAUCAUGAAUCAAUACAAAUAAUUCAGGGACUGUUUCUUUUUUCUUUUAUUUUCCCAUCAAGUCUUGUAUGGUAAAGUGGCUGAAUGGUUAGCAACUAUAAAACAGCCCCUAAGACCAAAUGACCAUUUUACCCUUACAUCCCAACAAACAGAUUUCAUAAUCAUCAUCAAUUUUAACAUGAGAGAAGUUGGUGGAAAAAAUAUUAAGGGCAAGUAGGGGAAGGGUUGGUGUUUUGAUACACUAAGCUGUCCAGAUUAAGUGGUUAACCAAGAAAGCCCAUCAAGUCAAACAAAAAAAGUAAAACAUAAAUAGCAUUGUAACAAAGCAUACCUUGAACCCUGUAGGCGUAGGACUUUCAAGAAAUCCUUCUUCUGUGGACCAAAUCCAGGUCAAGGAAUUUCUUCUGUAAAUCUGGAUUGAAAUUAGGGCAUGUGUCUCCAGAAAAAAGAUCAACAAAGAAAGUAAGGACCUUCACAUUAACCGAUUCAGAGUUGCAAUUAUCCAAUGCAUCGAAAAAGACCAAAAUAUCCCCACACUGAGAGCCAAAUCUGUCAUCAAGUUCUUUUGAAAGAUCUCCAUUAGACAUGAAAAACUUUAGCAAUUGUGCCCUUGAAGGAUCCUUUAUGAUGAUGUCUAUGAUAUCAACAGCUUUGGAGACUCCACACUCGUGUGUGUCUAUGCACACACAAACACCAUCUAGAAGUAGGACGACGUUGGCUCAAUGGUAAAUUAAUUAAUAUCUAUAUCUAUAUAUAUAUAUAUAUAUGUGUGUGUGUGUGUGUGUGUGUGUGUGUCUAACAGUUUAAAGUCUAAAGAAAAUGACAAAUUAUCUUAUGUUUCAGAUGGUGAUGCUUACUGUGUAUGCGUUCUUAUACGGGAGAUUAUAUCUCUGUUUAAGUGGAUUAGAAAAAGCGAUUAUGAAAUCAGCAAAGAUGCAAGGAGAUAAAGCUUUGAAAGCAGCCAUGGCUUCUCAAUCUGUAGUUCAACUUGGUCUUUUAAUGGCGUUACCGAUGAUUAUGGAGAUCGGACUCGAAAGAGGCUUCAGAACUGCACUCGGUGACCUAAUAAUCAUGAACCUCCAGCUCUCCGCUGUCUUCUUCACCUUCUCUCUUGGCACCAAACUUCACUAUUUCGGUCGCACAAUUCUCCACGGCGGCGCCAAAUACAGAGCCACCUAACCAUCUCAAUGUGGUUCCUAGUCGUGUCGUGGCUGUUCGCCCCUUUUCUUUUCAACCCAUCCGGAUUUGAAUGGCAGAAAAUCGUUGAAGACUGGGACGACUGGUCAGCGUGGAUCAGAAACCACGGUGGAAUCGGUGUUCCGGCGAACAAAAGCUGGGAAUCGUGGUGGGAGGAAGAACAGGACCACCUCCGAUUAGGGCUUUUUCUAACAAUUUCAACAUCGAAGAAACAAUGAAGAACAGGACCACCUCCGAUUAGGGCUUUUUCUACUGCUACUUCUUCACCAUCUUCUAUUUUUUCUGUAUUUAGACUUGAGAGUAUAAUUAGGGCUUUUUCUAACAAUUUCAACAUCGAGUGGGAGAUAUGGUGGUUCCAGUAGGUAGAAGUGAGGGAAGAAGUAAGCAGCAGUCAAUGUCGGGAGGGGGAAGGAAGGAGCGUCCAGGGCAAGAGGGAAAGGAGAAAAAAAAGGAAGGCGGGAUUUUUAAUUUUUUCAGAAUUUCAUUUCCCCCUACUGUUAAAGGAUGGAACGCGCGUUCCAUUAAAAAUUAUAAAGCGACAUCCUUAGACGACGCGCAUUUUAUUAUAGGUGCCCUCCGUGUUUUUUUUAGACACUAAUUUAAGGGCGCGCAAUAAUGCGUGUCUUCUAUCCUUAAAUUUUUUGAAGAGAUGACAUUUUUCUAAUGUCACUCUCCUUUGCGUAACAUAGAUCAAUGAGCGUCGUAUUUUGCGCGUCGUAANACACCUGUGAUAUAAAUAAACUGAGUGGGUCAGGUUGGGAAACCUGGUGAGUACAUAGGGUUUUCAACCCACAAUAAUAUAAUUAUUAUGUUUAAACAAUCAAAUAAUCAACCCAAUUACCCAUCCCCAUUAUCUUCUUUAUCCUUAGGAUCUACCCUAAGAAUCAGCUAUUUCUCGUUCAUUUAUUCCUAAGGAGUAUCCUAAGGAAUAGGUACGAAUUUCAUCGUUGUAAAUGACCCAUCUGUCAAACACAACUACUAGUUCUGUCACUAGGGCGCAGUUGCCAAAGUUGUGACAUACUCUAUGGGGCGCAUCUGCCGGAAUAGUCCUCAAGGCGCAUCUGUCGGGAUUAUGAGGUUCUCUAUUAGGUGCUUCUGCCGGUAGAGUCCUUUAGGCACUUCUGCCGGGUUUUAUUAAUAGUAUCGUCUUCGAGAGUCCACUCGUGAUACAUAUCAAUGGGUUUUUAGAGUACACCAGUGAACACGUCAUUCACAACACCUACAGGUUGCGAGCCUGCUAGUGUUCCACUGGACUGUCUAGAAUAGUCCGUGGUUGUCAUCCAUACUCUGCUGAAUGACGGGGCCAUCAUUUGGGAAAAAGGCUUCUCACAUUGUCCACCUCUCACCCUCACCUUACGGUCUAUUUCACCUCUCAACUCAUCAUCUGACUCAUAUUUCAUCUAUUACAUCUACCCAUGUCUUACCCCAACAUUUUCGUAGAUAUAAAAUACAUAUACAGUUUAAAUCAUUUAAAACAUGUAUAAAAUCGUUUACCGAGCAUAGCCAGCAAGUAAACAGACAAUAUGCACACAUAACACGUAGUAAAUACUUCAUAUCUAUGUGUAAGUUGAAGACCAUGCACUCACCUGAUAAGUGGUGACUCAGCACUCGGACAGCGCUUCGGUACUCUCAAAACAAUUUUUCUUCGAUAAAACCUAGUACUAAUACCACUAGGGUUUAGUCUAACGAUAAUCGCGACAAAUUAAUAGCCUGAUUAUUAUUACUAUUAUAUAAGCAUUAAAUAACACUCAAUAUAACUCAUAAUAAUAGCCCAAAAUAAUUAUUUUAAGGACCUAAUAACAUUCCUAUAAUUAUUUGAAAGUUAUAUCAAAAAUUGCGUAAGCGUAGCACACUUACAACAAAUUUUAUCGAAAACCGGAACUUAUUUGGAGCAGCGUUUUGAAACCGAAAGACACUUUUUCUCGGGACUCCGGGAGCCUCGAGGCUUCCCUCGGGAGCUAAGGGGUUUAACUAGGGCUUAGGGGGUUUUAGAGCACUUAGAGAGAGAAACUAGUGAGAGAAAGAAGAGAUUUUGGAGUGAGGAACUCGGCAACCUUUGCACUCCCUUUUAUAGGCAUGAGACCUCGGACUACGCUGGGCGUAGCCCUUGGUUACACGGGGCGUAGGCCUCGGAUAGGAUUGCCACCUCGGUUCCAGCUGUCUCGCACACCGGUCGGAUAGGAAGCGAAGGUACGCUGGGCGUACUAAUCUCGGACAGGGGGCAUAAUGCGAGGCUACGUGUCAUCAUCUGAAUCAAGCAUCGUGGUCAGCAAGCGACGGCUGAGAUUUGGCCACGUCACCACUCUCCCACAGAUUUCGCAAUUUCCACUCCCGACUUCUAAAAAUCAUAACUUUCGCAUACGAGCUCCGUUUUUUACGUUCUUUAUAUCCACGCAAAGGUGGGAACGUACUCUACAACUUUUGUUUAGACUCCGUCAACUAAUUUUGACUCGAUUUUAAAUUUUAUAUUAUUAACAUGUCGGGGCAGGAUUGGUCCGUUAAAUCCUCAUAACUUCUUCAUCCGACGUCCGUUUUCACCCAUCUUUUUCUCGUUACGCUACUCUUAACGAGAUCUUCGAUUCUCGUUCAGGUCGUGUCGGCUAAAAACCGCUCGAUCUAAUAUUCAAAUUUCGGGUUGUACACUAUUAAUCCGAAACUUCAAAAAAUCAUAACUUCUUCAUACAAAGUCGGAUUUGGGCGUUCUUUUUAUUGAUGUUCUUAGUUUAACAUAUUCUACGACUUUUGUUUAGAGCGCUAAGGCUAAAUCUCUCUCUAUCGUAAAUUCACUAUUUACGCUUCCCAGUGUCGUGCCUUAUGACAUAUUCUACAACUUGGUUAAGAUUAUUUAUUCUAAAUAAUCUUUUCUCGAAAAGUCAUUUUCGACCCCUAUUGCCUCUAAUUUGACUAGCCCGGAUUUGCGGGCGUUACAUAUAAAGUCUUCAUCUUGAUAAGUAAAUUGAUAGAUCUGUAGAUUUUGUCCACGUUCUCUAUGCCUUGUUGUUUUGGAUGGUUUGAUCUCAUCAAGCUUGUAACUUUAUGCAUCUCCAGGCCUUAGGAGUAUUUGGUGCUUUAGAUCUAGAAUAAGAUUGAGCUUUGAGACCAUGCAUGGAUCUUGGCCCUUUUUACCCAAUUUUUGACCUAAUAAGAGUUCAAGACAUACAUGUCUGAAAAGCACAAAUUUUUAUUUGAGAAUGGUGUUAAAAAGUCUUCUGGAGUUGUUGGAGAAGUGAACUUAUAGAUUAAGUGCUUAUUGCUUAAACCAUGUGGUGUGUUUGGACCAUAAAGUUAAGAUCUACGCACCUUGGAGAGUUCUAAGGGAUAAAGUUAGAAACUUUAUCCAUCUAGACCCUAAAAUGGACCAGAUCAGAGUUGGAGAACCCUUUGAAUCGAAGAAAACAGCUUAACCCAUUAAGUUGUUGAAUACCUAGUGGCCACGACGUAGAGGCUAGGUUGGUCACGACUAUUUUGUCGUAUCGACACCACGACAUGGUCAAGGAUGACCACAAUGUGGUGGUCAGUCUGUUGACUUUUGUUGACCAUUUACCAUUGACUUUUGGACCAAGUUUGACUUUGGGUCAAACUUGAGGAUUUUGAUCUAUUGAUUGAGAUCCUAUUUGGUUCUGGUGUUGGUGGAUUCGCGGGAGAAAGCAAUGCGGAAAAGGGCAUCGUAUCGCAGUGUUCAGAGUUCUUCAAUUUAGGUGAGUUUCGCCUUUCGCUUUAUUUCAUUUUGGUUGUUCACUCGAAAAUUAAUGACACAUCUAAGAUUAGGGAUUCUCAGAACAUAAAUCAACAAAAAAAAAUUAAUAUGAUGGAAAUCGAUGUGUACCUGGAUAAGAUGAAGAUACAGAUUGAAUUAUUAACCAAUACUUAAUCCAUAGUGAACCGAUAGAUAUCGUUUGAGUAGGGGAGAAUUGGAUUCAUGGGACUAUCGAUUGUCGCUGCCGUCGGACAAGAAUGUAGCAGAGAAGCAUAGUGGUUGAGCAGUAUAGAGAAAACGAAGACGGUGAAUUUUUUUAGGGUUCGAUGUUGUAAAUAUAAACUGUGUGAUGCAAUUUUGAAUAUUCUAUAGGAUUCAAUUUUGAAUAAGAUUUCGUCCUAAGAGUUUAAAGGAUUAUAAGGGGUAAAAUUGGUAUUUCAUUUUGAAUGGGAGAGGCUUAGAAUGUGAGGGGCUUAGCAAUUGCCAUGUAGCAAUUGGAUACUGAAGAAAAAGAUUUGACUUUUAUAAUUUGUAUUCCAACCAUCUUUGUUCCUUCCAGGAAUUUUCCAAAAAUUAAAACAAUGACAUGUAGAUUUUGACAUUUUGUCAAUUAUAUAUUUACAUAUGAUUAGAUCUCAAUGAUAUAACUCAAAACCCCUCAAUUAUGGCAAAAAUGCUCCUGUUGCUCUGGUUACUUGUAGAUCUUCUCGUAUUCAUAAUCACAGGUGUGUUUCUUUUUUCAUUUGGUCCGUGAAUACAGUUUUCGUUUUGCUCACAGGCGUUUUAUCGUAUAGUUUGGGUAAUUAAACUAUUAUUUUCUUUUUAAUUGUGUCAAAAAAAAAAAUUUAUAAUGAUUCAUUUUGAAAACCGAAUAACAAAAAAAAAUGGUUUUUUUUAACUGUUAGAAAAGUUAUAUUGAUUCAUUUUGAUUUAUAUAAUUUCGCAUCAUUUCAAAAUAAAUUAUUUAUAUUGUAUUAUGUAUAUAUAUAAGAAUGAUUUUAUGUUUACAGUUGCACAAGAUGCGCAACCUGUAGGGGUGUGUUACGGAAGAGUCGGUGAUGAUUUGCCAUCGCAACAGGAUGUGGUGAACCUUUACAAGAUCAACAACAUAACCAGAAUGCGAAUUUAUGAUCCAGAUCGAGCUACACUUCAAGCCCUAAAAGGAACCAAUAUCGAACUCAUCAUCGGCGUUCCUAAUGAUUCUCUGCAAUCCCUAAACCAACAAAGCGCAGCGAACACAUGGGUUAGGAACAACAUUCAAAAUUACUCCGACGUCAGGUUUAGAUACGUCGCCGUCGGCAACGAAGUCGAUCCAAACAACGCGAAUAGUCAAUACGUAAGUUACGUACUUCCGGCGAUGCGAAAUCUACACAACGCCAUUACAGCCGCCGGCCUAGGGAACCAAAUCAAGGUGUCGACGGCAACCUACGCCGGUUUGUUAGGCGUCUCCUAUCCACCAAGCAACGGCGCGUUUAAUGACAAUGCACGAGAGUUUAUUGAGCCGAUAAUCAAAUUUCUAGCUGAAAACAACUCGCCAAUGCUUGUAAACAUCUACCCCUAUUUUGUAGACGCUAAUGGCAAUCUACUGUAUGCGUUGUUUUUGUCACCGGGAACAAUUGUGAGUGAUAACGGCCGGAACUACUCGAACCUCUUUGACGCCAUUUUAGAUGCUCAUUACGCAGCUCAAGCAUCUGUUGGUGGAGAAAAUGUGGAGAUUGUUGUGUCGGAGAGUGGGUGGCCAUCGGCAGGAGGUGAUGCGUGGACAUUUCAGACCGCAGAAACUUAUUAUACGAAUUUGAUUGCACAUGUCACAGGGAUAACAGGGACACCGGCGAAGCCUGGAAGAUCAAUAGAGACGUAUUUGUAUUCAAUGUUUGAUGAAGGAAUGAAACCUGGAGCAGAAUCGGAGAGACAUUUUGGGAUAUUCUAUCCAGAUAGACGACCCAAAUAUCAAUUAAGCUUCAACCUCA